rnacentral:lncRNA from 1 species
AAUAGACAUUUUAGAGCUCUCCCUGAAACACACAUCAUUGUAUUUGCUUAUCAUGGUAUUUGCUUUAAGAUAAGAUGUUUAAAUUGUCUUGUAAUAGUUGAACUAUGUAUGUAAUGUAUUUGAUGGUAAAUGUGACUGCAGCCGGAGGAGAUUUGGAGAGAACCAAGCCGAGAAUUGGUGGUCAGAGAACCGAGAAAAGGUAUACGAAAAAUACAAUGUUCGUAGCGUGGACAAGUCUUCUACCCAAGCAGCACAUAGGGCAGAGGAUGCUGGUUCUCCUGUGUCCCAAAUUUAGGUAAAGUAGAGGGAGGAAAAUUCUUCUUUAACCCCUUUUGUCACAAUGAGGAAGUUGUAGGGAAGCAAAAAUGAAUAUCAAGAAACCACUCAAACUCAGGAGUCUACGAAAACUCGUGGAGUGUCUGUAGACUCGACUCAAACUCGGGCAAUUUUACAAGUUGGCUCGAUUGUUUAACAAUCAUGGUUAUAUUAUUUAUUAUGUCUAUUCUUAUUCUUAUUCUCUUCACAAUCUUUUUACCCUUUCCUUCUUUUUUUCCACAAAUUAGUUGUCUCUUAUAUUGUAGUUUAGUGUAUAUAAAAUCAUCAGUUCACAUAAUUUCGGUGCAGGAACAACCCUUACCCAUUUAACCUUUUAUUUUCUUUGCUUGUUUUUCGUUGUUUCUAGCACACUUUGCCUUAUGAGUAUAUUCCUAUGCAUUCAAAUUCAAAUAUAUACAUGGUGAUAGUUAUUAUAUCAUUCAUUCAUUUUUUUCUCUAAGAGAUAAUAUUGUACUUGGUCUUACAUAAUUGGUUUUUCAGUGCCACCUUUUUUAAAAACAAAAUAAAUUGUUCCCAUUUAGUGUAUAAUACUAGUAAACGUUGUCUUUGGUGCAAUUUCAACCUUAUCUUAUAGAUGUCAAACUUUUUGGAUGGUUUUAAAAAAAUGAAGGUUAUGGUAACUUGUGAUCAUUUUUAAAUGAUAGAUCGGGGAUCGACAGCUAUUUUGAAGAAGCAAUGUGAUUGAUAAAUUGUCCUAUAAAACAUAAAUGUUUUAAUGCUCUCAAUUCUAUUUCCUUUUGUUAAAGGAAAACAAUUGUUUCCUGGUGUUUAGUUUCGACUUUCACAUAAAAUACGAUCGAAACACUAACCAUGACCGACAAUUCUUGUUCAAAGUCUAUUUAUUUUUAUAGGUGAACAGUUCAUUAAAACACCAACGACGAUUAAUGACAUUUAUUGAAAAUAUAAGUUAACGAUAUUUUUGGUUUUAUAGAUGAGAUAAUUAUUUAAUUGAUGUUAAUUUAAUAAAAAAAUAUAAAAUUCAAUUGUGUGAAUUUUAACCGGUCCUCCAUGGUGAGCACCCAUCACUCUCUCAUAGAUUUUUUUUUUAAAAUUUUUUUAUAAAAUUAUUUUAAUUUUUUAAUUAUAUUAAUUAUUUCUUUAUUAAAUUAUUUUUAAUUAUAUUACUUCAUUUUCUAUAAUUUAUAAUAAAUACAAUAAUAAAAAUAUAAAAUAAUGUUUUCUUUUUAAAAAUAAACUACUAAAACAAUUUAAAUUGUUGAUAUAUUUAAUAUUACAAUUAAUUUUCUUAAUCAUCUUAAUUUAGUUAAUACACAGGGUAGAGGUAGUAUAAUUUGGUAUUUGGUAUCGUUGUAAAUGUAACUCAACAAAAUGAAGCCACUUGUAUAACUUUCAUAGGCUACCGACAAAUUAACAGUAAUUGUAGUAAUUGUAUCAUGUUCACCCAAUCAACAGAUAAAUUACCUCUAAAUUUCAAUGAAUGGUCCUAAUACUAUUUUUUAACCAAAUCUACUAAAAAAUGAGAUUAGCCACCCUUCAAAUCCAAAAAAAAUUAAUAUUAAUAAACAAUUUUUGACUUGGGGCUUGUCUUUGAAAAUGUGUAUCUAUAAUAGAUAGUCUCACAAAGUCACAUGAGGCUUUUGAAAUUGAGACAUGACACAAGAUAGCUAAACCCUCCAACAAAGAUAUCAUUUUGAGGAACCAAUUAAAAGAAGUUUCUCACUCUUUUUCAUAGAGUCAAUUUUACUAAGUUUACAUUUAUUAAAAAAUACUAUAAAUAAAAGAAAAUAAUAAUCACUAAAUUAUUUUUAUUAACGGUGUUUUCUUAUUAUUAUUAUUAUUAUUAUUAUUAUUAUUAUUAUUAUUAUUAUUAUUAUUAUUAUUAUUAUAAAGUGAAAUAUAAUAUUUUAAAAAUAAUAUAUAUUAUUAGUUAGAAAGUACAAGAUAUUCUUUUUUUUUUGUUGGUAAAAUUACCUUUAUUGUGAGAUGGAGGGAGUAAAACUUAUGCAAGAAUACACUAAUUAUUCUUGUGAGCUAUAACUUGUAACCAUGUGGAACAUGCGACAUAUUUUAGUAUGUUAGGUGGUCCAAGUGGAUCUAGAUUUGAGGAUGGUGAGAUGAUCGGUGCGCUGGUGAUUGGUUUGAGAGUGAUAAUCUACAAUCAAUUAAGUAAGUUUGUGUUUGAGAGUGAUAAUUUUUAUGAUUAGAAUAUUGUGUGCCUUUAAUAUGUGUUAGACAUUCUUUUAUAGGACAUCUUUUAGAGUUUUUAGAAUGAGUCUAUUAGAAUUAUGAUAUUAGAAUUAUGAGUUGUAUGAUAUGUGAUAUGUAGAUUAUUAUAUCAUUUCAAACACGUGUUUUGAGUACUGAUUGAAAUAGACUAGUAUGAGUGAUGUUGUACGAAAUAGACUAGUAUGUGUGAUGUUGUACGAACUUCUUUUGAUGUGACUUUACUGAUUGAAAACAAUUUUAAUUGGUGAAUGAAACAAUAUCACUUAAAUCUCCUUAAAGGACUGAACACACAACAACAAAUAAAAUUUGAAAUGAUUUGAAUUGAUAGUGUUGUGAGUGUUUAAAGAUUGAGGAGUUAGUAAAAGAUAAAGUGUUGAAUUGACUACACAUGACUAGAAAAAAAUGUUAUUUUUUAAUUUUGGUCCAAUAUAAUUGAUUAACAAUAAGAACUUAAUCGAGUAAAAAUAGAAUUCUCUGAUACAAGAUCGCGCAUUAAUCAAUUACUGCAUAUAAACUUAUUGAUUAAUCAAUAAUAUUAUUUAUUAAUUAAUUAACAAUGUUUAAACAAUUAUUUACUAUAUCUAGCUAUCCUAUAUCAAUAUCUAAACAUUCAAACAUCUAAUAAUUAACACAAUUGAAUCUUAAGAUUUAAAAAUAAUUAAUAAAAAUUCGGGUGUUACAUUUCUGAUUCUCCCUACCCCACAUCAAGUGCGACGAAAAAUAAACACCCUCCUCUUUUUAAAUAAUACUAAUAUUUUAAAGAUGAAAGUGUCACGCCACCUUUAUUGAGCACUUAGGAAAACCAUUUUUUUUAGCAUAUAUGGUUAACUUGUAUUUUUUUUUUCUAAAGAGUUUAACAAUAUAAAAUUGCUCGUACAAUUCUUAGUGCAACUUGUAUUUUCUAACCAAACAAUUAAAAGUAGUACAGAUUGUAAUAAAAUUGAUUAUACAUAGCAUAUGUUUGGUUUUAUUAACAAAAUCACUUUUGCAAUAUACUAUAUAAUUUUUACAAAAUUACAGUAUUCACCGUAAUUUUAUCAAUUUUAUCGGGAAACCAACCAUACACAUAGUAAUAGUAGAUAUGUACUUAACUAAAUUUGCAGAGUAUAUCACUGGUUUCUCUAUGCUUUCAUACACAAGAGUUGUAAUAUAAAGUUAAACCACAUAGUACAUCUUGAUACAAGUAUGAGUGAACUUAAAACAUAUGUAUUCCUAUGUUUCAUUCCUUAAAAUUUCCUCAAAAGUGUCUAAAGGGAGAAAAUAAUACAGAGAAUGUUAAAAUAAAAUUAAUCAUGAUUAACUACAACAACAUAAACUUUAAUUACAUACAUUUGUGUGUGUUAACCUUCUGAUACUCAAGAAAAAUGAAUCCUAAUAAUGCAAAGUUCAACUGAGAGAUAAGUAAAAUCUAACUAAAAAUUGUUUCAACUAAAAUUUGAGAACUAUGGUUCAGAACUCGAACGAUAAUUCUCUACGGCUUCCCCUUUGAGUUGUGUAAUUCAAUACCAUUGUGUGCCUUUGAAGGUCCAGAAGGUGGCAUUGGCAUUGCUUUAGGCAUGGAACCUAAGAAAUUUUGAUGUAAACCUUGAGACUUGACCUUCACAUAAAAAGCUUGAGUAUGUCUAGAACAAGAGGUACCACCAACAAAAUAUAUUAGCAAAAAGAGUAGCAUUAAAAAUACAUGAAGAUUCUUCAUAGCCAUUUAAACCAAGAAAAAAAUGGCAAAAAGAAGAAGGAAAAAAGAGAAGUAUGAAAGGUGCAAAGUAGAAGAAAAAUAUAUUAUAUGGUAAAAAAAGAGUGAGUGGGUAUAUUUAUGAAAGGCAUAAUGGAAGAAUUAAAAAGGUAGCGGCAAUGAAGGAAGUGUAUGUGCGGAAACACGGGGGAAAUAAAUGCAACAUCAUAUGCUUUAAUAUUUGGAUGUUAGGAAUCAUCUAAAAUUUUAUUUGCCUUUUUUGGCAUUAAAUGAAACAAAGCUAGUCCAUAGUAUUUAAGGUUAAAUAAAUUUUUACUUUUUAUAAAAAAAAUAAUUAAUUUUAGUCUUUAAAAAAAUUUCUAAUUUCGUUUUUGUAUAUGUUUUUAAGUCAAAUCAUAUUUAUUAUUUAAAUUUUGAAAUAGUUUUUGUCAUGUAUAUUUAGUACAUUACAAUGUAGUAAAUAUAAUUGAAAAGAAUCAUACAAAAAUUUAAAAAUACAAAUAAGUUGAAUUAAAAGUAAUGGUCAUUAAUGAAAUUGAAAAUUUUUUUUGGAGAUUAAAUAAUUUUUUUAUAAAGACUAAAUUAAAAUUUUAAAAUUUUAUAGAAAUUAAAAACUUAAAGAACUUUAUGUGUUGCUUUUUAAUUGGAUUUUUAAACUAGUUUACACUUGUUAAAAAUCAAUUAAUUUGACUAAAAUACUUUUUCUUCAUCUAAAAUACUCUUAAUUAUUUAUUAUUUUAUUUCAUAUAUUUUCUCUAUCAUAAAUAAUUAUGAGUAUUAUUAAUAAAAUAAUAGUUAUUUUUUAAAAAGCCAAAAUAAUAAUAUUAAAUAAAACAAAGUACAAAGAGAGUCUCACAAGAAAUAAACACAGAUUUCUUUUACAAAAAGCGAUAUUUAAUAAAUUAAAAAAAAAAAGAGAGAGAGAGAGUAUAAAUAAUAUUUUCACACCAUAUAGUGUGAGUCAAUAGUUAUUUUGUCCAAUUAAAUGGAGACUAGAAAACCUUGAACAGGACAUUAGGAAGUGUGUUCUAACUUCCAUGUCAUAAAAGUGGUGAUAAAUGAAUACACAAAAGAAAAUUGAAUAUGAAAUUAAAAGGGUCCAAAGUUGUACCUCUCUAUUUAAAUAAAAUAUAAAUGUUGUACAAAAGUAUCUUGAGAGCAAAAAAAGGAAGUUGUCGUUUGGUUAGGUGAGUAUGUGGGCCUCCAUGGAAAAUAAUGGAUAGGUAAAUAAUCUUUUAAGUCUACAACUAUGGUACCAAGUCUUUACUGCAACAUUGAAAUGUUUUCCUAUAUAAUACAAUAAUUUCCCUCUUUUACUCUUAUCAAUUUCAUGAUUUUUUUUAUAAUAAAAAAUAUAUUCAUUUAUUUAAAUCAGUAGAAAUUACAACAAUUAAUAUUAUAAUUUAUAGUUGUUAAAAAUAAGAAAGAUGAAAUUGCAAAUAAAUUCACAUAUAGAUGCACAUUAAUAGCAUAAAAUCGCUAAAUAUUACGAAUGUGACAAAAUCUACAUACACGACAAAAUUGAUAUGUUGUAAAUACUUAUGUAUCUAAAGCGACAACUUUAAAGAUGUUAAAAUCAUUAAUUGUAUUUGCAUUAGAUCGAAGUUGAUUUAUCAAUUUGAAAUGAAAUGAAUACUGCAACAAGGCAGAACACAAAAAUAUCUCAUUAAGAUGACAAAAUUACGGCAAAAAAAAAUUAAAUAUGUGUAAAAAAUACUUAUUUAACUAAAAGAAAAUUGAAGAAAAAGAUUUCACAUAAUUGUAAAUAAUUGAAGAAAAAGAUUUCACAUAAAUUACUAUGAAAAUAAUUGUAAAGAGUUCUCACAUUUCACUUAUUGAUGGAAAAACAGCCUUAACCCAUUGGUGGAUCCAUUUAGUUUGUCUUAUUUGGUAAGGUGAGUUAAAAUUUUGAACUCGCAGAUAUUAGUUGAGAUAAUCUCAGUUUUUUUUAUCGUUUAUUUUUUCUGCCUCAUUUUUAUUUAUAUUUUAUGAUAGAUAAAAUAUUAAAAUAUCAAUUAUAUAAAAAAAUAAUAAUAAUUUAAAGGGAAAUACUAAUAAGUGUCCUGUUUUGGAGCACUUAUUAAAACACUAAAAGUGAAAAUUUAAUUUUAAAAAUGAUCCAUUUGAUUCAUUUAAAAUUUAAAAUUUAAUAUUUUCUACACAAUACUUUAUUUUCAUUUUUUAAUUUCUUAAUAAGUGUCCUUAUUACACUUGUUACUAUGACUAUAACUUAAAAAGUAAUAUUUACGACAAUACCACAAAAUAUAAAAACUUAUUUUGAAAUACAUGGUGAGAGAGGAGGGAGGGAUGGGUGUUAUUUCAAUUAUAUUAAAACUAUUUUUUAAAGAUUUAUAUAUUAUUUCUUGUCUCUCAAAAUGAAGAUUGCUUGAAUUAAAAAAAGUUGUUUAAAAAAGAAUGUGAUUAUCAAUUUUGAUUAUAACUUAAUUUUUUUUUCUUAUAGUACUCUUUAAUAAUUAUCACAUAAUCAAUUUUUAAAAUAUUAUUGUAUUUUAUAUUAAUGAUAAAAAAAAUAUCAAUUGUCAAAAAUUAAUAAUUUAAUUAAAUAAUUUUUUUUAAUUAUUGUAUUUUUUAAUAUAUAUGUAAAAAUCUUAAAGAACAUUAAUUGGAUGGAAUAAAAUUUAAGAAUUAAAAUUGAAAGCUUGAUUCCCAAGGACCAAGGUGUUGACAUAAGAAGAAGGGAAUUGAUGAAUGAGGCGUGUACUGCAUGAGUGGAUAGACCAAAAGUGUAAGGAUUUCAUGACAUAAUUAAGAGUUGGGUAUAGUAGUUAGGGGCCCAUGAAAUACAUAUCUAACAUUUUCAUACAUGUUAUGUAACACUUGGACCCCACGUGCUAUGAUUGAUGAUAGUAGAGUAGAUGUUAUAGAUUGUGUUGUAAAUCAUUCACUAUAUGGAAAAAUCUAUGCUCAUACUUCAUGAAAGAUAGUAAAUAAUUAUACUGCAUUUUCGACAAAAUUUAAGAUGGAGCAUGGUCCACUACCAAUAAGUUUUAAAAAUUGUUUAAAAUUUAAAUGAUUAUAUAUAUAUAUAUAUAUAUAUAUAUUUAAAGUAGAUAUUAUUAAGUUUUUUUAUUUUUACGACUGAGAUAAUGAUAAAUGAUAUUAAUUUAAUAAAAUGAUUUUAAAAAGAUUUUGGUUCUUAUGAAUAUAUUAUAUUUCAUUUUUAGUUUUUUAAAUUUUUUUCUUCAAAUAAUAGUCUCUCAAAUAUUUUCUAUCAAACAAUUUUGAUUCCUAUUUUUAAAUCAACUCAUUUGCAUCGAUCUAAUUCUUGAAUGUUUUUUGCAAUAAUGUUUAGAAUAUUAUAAGAAUGUCUCAGAUAAAUAUUUAGAACUUUUUAACAAAAGAUUAAUUAAAUAAAAAAUUUUAAGCGCUAAAAGCUUAAAAAAGUUAUAUUUAAUUAUUCUAAAUUUUUGUAAGAGACAUUCUUAUUAAACAUGCAUGUAAUAACUCAAUUAAAAAUUCAGACGAUACAUAUGAAUUGUUUUAAAAGCAGGAAACAAAAUUAUUAACGAAAAAUAUUUGAGAGACCAUUAUUUAAAAAUAAAUUUUAAAGGGACUAAAAAAAUAAAUGAUAUAUUUAUAAGGACCAAAAAUUUAUUUCACCUUUUAAAAAAUGACCAACCUUGCAAAUUAAAACUUAUUCUUUAUGAUGGUUACAAAAAUUUUAAUAAGUGGAGUCAAGGUUAAUUAUUAUAAAAAAAUAUUAAUGUAUAACUAAUAAAACUGAUGACAUCAACAUUAAAACAAAAAUUAUAAAAUUGAACAUCCAAAAAUUAAAAACACCUUAAUAUCAAAAUAUUGUAAUUGAUUUCUAGGUGUCUUCAUAUAUUGAAGUGUUAUAAUUUUUUUUUUUAAAUUUUUUGUUCAACACUAUAAAAAAAUAUAUAUUAAGAUUUUUUUUUUAAUUUGUUUAGGUGUAAUUAAUUAUUUUAAAGCAUGUGGGGGUUAGGUUCCCCAUUUGUAAUGAGUAGAUAUGUCCUUACUUACUCCUCCUAUCUCAAUUAUAAAAUAAAGUAAUUAACUAAAUAUAUUAAGAAUAGUAAUUAAUCUUUAUUUUAAUUUAGUGGUAUGGUAAAAAUAAAAGUAAUUUCAUGUCUUUUAACUUUUUAUUUUUUAUUUUUUUUAUAAUCUAAAUGAAUUCCUUUACAAAGGAUAAUUAACCACUUUGAAGGCAUGCAAAUGAAUUGUUACGGCAAUUAACAAAAACUUUUAAUCUAAAGUGGCACUAAUGUGAUUUAUUAGUGAAAAAAAAAAUGAAAUAUUAGAGAGAUAAAGGUAAGAAAAUCACAACAAAAAAAAAAAAAUUAUGAUUCAUUCAACGUAUGUUAAUUUAAUUCUCACAGCACUUUUUACUCAAUCUUUUUCCUUUAUUCAUUCUUGACUAUGCACUUGAAUUUUCUUAACUUCAACAAACUUAUACUUGUAUUUUUUCUUAACUAAACAAAUUUGAUGAUGUUUAUAACAAAAUGAUAAUGAUGAUUUAUUUACAACUCUAACAAUAUAGGUUGAAAUAAUAACACACUCAAAUAUUUGAUCCUAGAAUCUAUGACAAGAGCAAUAGUGUUUUUUCUGAAUAUUUGAAUGAAGAGAACAUUGUUAAUUUUGCGCUUAAGAAAUGAGAGUAUAUAUGAUUGGUUGUAGUCUAUUGAAGAUUGCAACUUGAAGAACCUUCUUAUUAUAUAAUUGGGAAAACUUAUUUUUACUCUAAAGGACAUUUAUAGUCGUUGAGUACAUGUCUCAAUGUGUUAGAGUAAAUAUUUUAAAUGUCCUAUGCAAUUCUUGGUAAAUGUAGUCUUCUGUGAGGGUGUUAACGAAUACCGUCUUAUGUAUGAAUGUGGUAGAGGUGAUUGAUCAUUCUCUUGUUCUUUUGACAACUUGCAAUGAGCUUGCAAUGAACUAACCACUUUUUGUUUUAUGUACUUGCAGUAUAGAACAUCAUCUUCUCAUUAUCCUUAUGUUCGAUUGUUCUCAACAUAGAAUGUUCUUCAUCUUGAUACGUGAGGAUGUCUAGGAAAUAUAUCUUGUUUAAACAAAAUGUAUGCUUGUCUUUUGCACGCAUGAACAAUGUUAGUUUGUCUAUUUUCAUAAGAUUCUUUUGUCUCAUGUUUUCAAGAGAAUGACCUUUUGUACUAUGAGCAACAUUCCUUUUGCAUAUAUAUUAAAUGCAUUAGUUAUUUUUUCCCCCUUCACUUUUAUCAUAUUGAAUAUCCCUUGAUUUUCAUGAAUAUUCCCUGAUUUUCAAUUAAUGAGAUUAAUAAUGAACAUGUUCCAAUUUUGAGGAUAAUUAACAUGUUUGUUUAUGAGUAUAUUUCAAAUGUUUGUCUAAGCUCCAUUAAAAACAUGUCUUAAAAUUAAACACCCAUGAGCACAUAUUAAAUUAGAAUUAACUAGAUUUUGGUCUAAUUAAAAUCAUAUAUUAAUAAUAUAGAGUGCUAAAGUAUCAUAUAAUUAUUAGAUAUUUUAAAUAUGUUGACAUCCUUAGACAUCUAUCUAUCAUUUGAAGCACUAAAAUUAAUUGUAUUAAUAAUGAUAAGCAAAAUAAAACAUGGGGGAAUUUAAAAAAUACUCAAGGAAACAAUGAAAUUUAAAAUGCACAACUGCUUCAUUAAAAUUCCUUUCUUAGAAAAUGCAAUGGGAUAUAUAAAAGAAGGAGGACAAAUAGUGCCAUAAUUGACAACAAGUCUUGCAUAAAAUAAAAAAUUAGAAAGCUCUACUAUAUUAUAAAAUAAGUCUAAGCUCAUGCAAGUUUUUUUUUUUAAAUCAUAUAUUAAUGUUAAUUAUGUGUGUUCCCCAAACCAUGCUACAAGUGCCUAUGACCAUACAGAAAGAAGUAAGAUUAAUCUUGCAAUCGAGAAUUUCUUCAAACCAAAUCCAAUGUUUUAUCGCAAAAGAACACUUCAAGAAAAUGUGUUAGCAUUUUUCAAACUAUGCCCACAUAAGUUACAACAAAAGAGCCAAGGAAUACUUUUUUUAGCUAAAUUAUCAUCUGUUGCAAUGAUAUUUUGAAUGAUUCUCCAAAGCACCAACGAUUUUUGCAAGGGGAAUAAUCGAGCUCCAUUUUAAUUUGCUCCAGGACUCAGUAAUUUGAUGACUAACUUGAGCAACACAUGGAGGAGAAUGAUAAAAAACUUGGAGAGUAAUUGGGAAUCCAAUCGGUCUUGUUAAAUAAUAAACAACCUGAUUCGUUUAUUUCUUAAUCAUUUUCGAUUUUUUUCAUAUAUUUGUUUUACUUUUUCAUUUUUUUCGUAAAAUAAUCAUUUUUGAAAGUUUUCAUAUAUUUGUUUUACUUUUAAAAAAAAAAAAUGAGAAUUUGAAACUAAUCUAAAAACUAUUUAAAAUAAAAACUAAUUUUAGUUGUUUAUCAAAAAAUUAUUUUUUAUAACUGAUAGUUUUAAAAAGUGUAAUUUUCUUUGCGACAAAUAAAAACAAAACAAGUUAUAUUUUUUUUUUAAAAAUCUCUAAAAAUAAUUUCAAAAUUAUCAGAUAACAAAGUCAGUUUUUUUUUAAAAUCCCUAACAAAUAAAUCUUAAAAAACUAAUUUUAAUCAUUUAUGAUUUUUGUCCUUUAAUCUAUUUAUAUAUUAAAUUAAGAGACAGGAAGAUACUCUCUAAUAAACUCUUUUUUACAUAAAUUCCACCGUAUUAUGUAGUGCCUAUAUAAAAUUAUAACAUUGGUGAUAUUUAUGUAGAUUUUAAAUAAUAAACAUUAUAAAUAUAUAUUAAAUAGUGUAUUAUUGGUAACAUAGCUCUUAUAUUAAUUUUGAAAGAAAAUUGUUUGUUAAAGAUGAAGUUGUGAAAGUUUAUUCUUUGGCUUCAAUUCCCAUCGAAGUCGUUAAGUAGAAAGUGUUGAAAGAGUGAACAUCACAUAGUAACAGUUAACAGCAACAAACAAAAUUCUCCAAUUUCCCUCUUUCAUAAAUUAGGGUUUCUUCUCGCCAUGGCCGACGGCUUCUGGUACCGGCAGCAGCAACAGCAGCAUCACUCACUUCAUCCCCACUCCGGCCAGGUCAAACGACCGCGUUCCGAUUACGGUUUGUUUCCCCUCUUUCUUCUCUUUUAAUUUCUUCAUCGCUUCAAUUUUGUUUCUUUUGUAGUUCUUUUCGUACAAUUAAUUUGUAUUUUUUAUUUCAUUUUGCUUUGAACACUAAAGUUUCAAGAUUUUAUACAUCUGUUGUGACAUUUGUGCUGAUCUGAUUUUUGGCAUUUUCAUUUGAGGAAUUGAAUUUUUGUUGUAGUUGAAGAUUGUGUUUCCAAUUGUUUUAUAAGGUUAAAUUAAGAAAUGAUUACUUCAUAUUUCAAUGUUAGGGUUUAAUGUUGUAGGUGUUAGAUCUUUAUUAUCCUAAUCAUGGUAGUUAAAACUGUGAUUUUGCAUGUAUGAUUGUAAAAGAUCUCAAUAACAAGCAGAAUCGGAAAUUAGUGCAAUUGCGUAGGGUCGAUCAGGUCGAUCAAUGAUCUUAUCCGUGUAGUCAAUGGGAUUCCAGCAUUUUCUUGCAAUCCUUAAUCUGCAACGGUAUUUUGCGGGCAGAUUGCAUUGGUCGUAGCACUAAGCAGGCGCAAAAAGAAGAUUAAGUGAAAAUCUUCGCUUCUCUGCUCAUGUCGUGUGACGAACCACCAUCCUAAGCCCCACGCUAUGAAGAUGAGAAGAAUAAAUUGUAGAAGAAGAAUUGUAGACGGCGGCGCUGUUUGUAUUUGUGUAUGUUGCGGCUAGGUUUACAUAUUAGGGUUACAUAUCAAAUCAAAUAAUCUAAUAAUUGGCUUAUGUUUUUGCUUGUAACAAUAAUAGGCUGAGAUAAAUAAUGGGCCUGCAAUCCUGUAGGCUUUAUUCUUCAUCAAGCACUACAAAUAAGAAGAAAAGAAAAAACGCGAGGCAGGAACCAUUGUCUUAAUAAUAAUGCUUAAGAUGGAUAAAAAAUAUACAAUUAUAAUAAAAGUAGAAUAGUAAAAGUAACAUAUAACAUCAUAAAAAUAACAUAUAACAUCAUAAAAGUAACAUAUAAUGACAUAACAUAAUCAAAUAAUAAAAGUAAUAUAUUAUUUAAGUAAAUAUUAUAACUCAUUUUGGUAAAAAUAAUUACAUAUAUAUAUUUUUAUUAUAAAAUUAAAAACUAUUAGAUAUAUAUAUAUAUAUAUAUAUUAUAAAUAAAUUAUUAAAUAUAUAUAUGUAUNNNNNNNNNNNNNNNNNNNNNNNNNNNNNNNNNNNNNNNNNNNNNNNNAUAGAGGCUAUACCGCUCCCCGCUAUCCUGCUAACCCACUUUUGGGGUCGGCCACUAUCCAGGUUCUUGUUCUGCAGCUUGGGUUGCAAAAAGCCAUUUUUCCUGGGUUAAAUCAGAAACCUGAAAGUAAGUCAGGAUUGUGUAUACCUGAGUUCGACUGUUAAGAGGUUAUGUGAGUUCAAUUUCGGCUGCUUGAACAUCAUUUGAUUCCGACUUCUGCAAGCGUAUUUGAGUUAGACUCAUUCGCUUCCAAUUUCUCUGCUGCAACCGGCGAGCAUAUAUGUUUUCUCUCUCUGCCUCCUCUGCUAUGAGGUGUAAGCAUUUCUGGUUCUCUACUCCUUGUUCAAUGUUCUUUCUGUCUGUGUUCUUUGCUUGUCACCUUCACCUCUUCGGAAGUCUUCCUUCAGUGGUUGGCACUUGGCAUGACACUUCAUGAUUACUGCUUCAUCUUAUUGAAAGUCUUUUACCCCCAAAACUCUUCAACCAAGUUGGGUUAGGUGUUUAUUGAAACUUGAUGGGCAAUGUUUUUACCCCCCACAUGAAAUACAUCAACAAUCUAAUCUUAUGCUUCUCUGUUAAUUGUUUUCUUUUCAUAAUCAUUAUUAAUAUAAAAUAAAUAUAAAAAUAUGUAUUGUAAAAUGACCAUAAAUAGAUAUUACAUUCUCACUUGAACUUUGUUAAUAUUAUAAUUAUAUUAUACUAUUAAUUAACUGCAUUAUCAUAUUGAUUCAUUAAAAUGUUUUCAAUGUUUUCAGUAGGAUCGUACAAUCGGUGUAUGAUUCCACAAUUUACAGUCUUUUAUUUUCCUUCCAAAUUUAGGCAAGAUGCCAAGAUCUUUAAAUUUUGACCAAUAAUAGGUUGCUGGUGAGGCUUCAAUUGCAUGUAAUAUCUGUCUGAUUCAAUUUCAUAUGGGUUGGGUAUUUUGAGGUUUAUGGAUUGAACAUAACAGGAUGGAUUAAUUAACUGCAAAACACUUAAACCAUUAUAUGUUGGCAUUCGUGAACAUAGUCUUUUGAGUGUAUUUAUAAACUAAACCAAUUGGACAAUCUAAAUAUCAAGAUUGCAUUGCCAAGCUGUGGGGCAUUCUCGUUGAUGUGUUUUAAGUUCUUAGUGAUUAAGUUUUUCAAAAACAGACCAUUUUAGUAUCAUUAUGAUUUCAAAGCUGUAAAUUUCAUGUAAAUGCAACGUUGACUGGGUGACAGCAGUGUCCAUUCUUAAAAUUGUGAGUUGUCAACGGUUAUUAGUGAACAAAAAGUACAUAAAAGUUAAAAUACUUUUUGUGCUUUUUCAAAGUCUAUCUUGGAACCAAAACAAUUAAUUCUUCUUCAACAUUGUUCCACCAUCUCAUUCACUAAGGGGAAAAUUGUCUUUCUGCAACAAAAGCACCUAGUUUGUCAGAUGAUUUCUCAUUGAACAUCACUCAGCUUUAUAAAAAAAAACUUGAAAAUGUGCUUGUAAAUGCUAGCAAUUAGGCUUAUCUGUCUAUAACCUUUUUUCCAUCGAAAGGCCUGUACUUGGGCAUUAAGUAAUGAAGAUAGAAUCUGUACUUAUUACAUGAUUUCCUUCAUGGGAUUCUUCUCCACUUCAUAUUGAUGUGAUUUCCCUUUAUAGCCUUCCAAUUUCCAACCACUCUUGAAGAAAGAAAUUGUAAAACCUUCAAGUCUUUGGUGUUUUUUCCUCCAUAUUUAUGUCUUUUGGGAUUCUUUGAGCUUUCUCCUCUUCAAAGAAUCUUUCCAAUUUAUAACCUUUAUCAUGAGAUAUAGGGCAACAAUCCAGUUCUUCAAUGAGUGGCUUAUAAUGGUUUUUGUUCUGAGUGAAUAUCUGUGUAUAAAUAAAUAAUAAUUCACUUGCAAUCAUUACCUAAUAAGACUUCUGUCUUCAUGCCAUACUCCAUUUAUGCGGCACUUGAGACAUGCUUCCUAGGUAGUUAAUUCCAGAUAGCGGUGCGCUGCGGCCAACCCCAAAAGUGGGAUAGCGGGAUAACUCUAAUUUUUUGAACAAAUUACAUGAAUAAUACUAUAUAAACCUAUAUUUAAUGCAAAAUUAACACAUGACUCAAACUUUGAAACAUUCAUAAUUAGUAAAAAUCCACGAGUCUCACUCUUAGUCAAAAUAUACAUUGAAUACUAACAAAAGGCAAGGAAAUAAAGAUGCAUAUUGAAGUCUUUAACACAUAGAGUAAUAAAAUAACUAAAUAUUAAAACUCAAAUGCAUGUUCUAGCAUAGGAAUCAAAGAUAAGCAUCAUCAUCAUUAGCAUAGUCUUCUUCCUUGGUGAAAAUAGAAACAAAAGAAAAGAGAAGGAAGAAAUAAUAGCAGAAUCUCGCUGGGAUCUUGUUUCAUGCUAUCGCGGACUAUGCUGUCGCGGUCCGGCACUGCACCGCACUGGGAUAGUGGGAUCUCACCGGGAAACGCUUGGAGUAUUUGGUUUUUUUUCCCUCCAUAUUUAUGUCUUUUGGGAUUGUUUGAGCUUUUCCUCUUCAAAUAAUCUUUCCAAUUUAUAACCUUUAUCAUGAGAUAUAGGGCAACAAUCCAGUUCUUCAAUAAGUGGCUUAUAUUGGUUUUUGUUCUGAGUGAAUAUCUGUAUAUAAAUAAAUAAAAAUUCACUUGCAAUCAUUACCUAAUAAGACUUCCGUUUUCAUGCCAUAAUCCAUUGCUGCAGCACCUGAUGACAUGCUUCUAGUGUCAAGGAAAUGAUUUUCACGGUUAGCUCAGUUGAUUCUCACGCUUCGUAGUCAUGAUGAUAGCCAACAAAAUAUUUGCUUUAGAUAUUGCUUUUAGCAUACAAUAAUCUAUUUCCACUCCUGCAUUUCAUCAAACAGAUGCUAGCUCUGAUUGUAUCGGAUAUGUUUUGUUUUGUCUGUUUUAGAGCAUUGGCAUCUUAUGUGCCAUUGUCUUAAAUCAUGGGCAUUCUGUGAAUUGUGUGGAAGAAAGAGGGUUGAUAGUACCUAGGAGUCACAUUCCUUGAAUAAGUAAGAAUGAUGAAAUUUUUCUACGUGGAAACUUCCUUAUUGAGGACAUAUAAUACAUGUGAACCCAUUCUUAUAUUGCAAUAUGGAUUUGAAGAAACCACCAUGAAUAUUGCAUUGCUGUUUCUGCAAAACAGGCUUUAGCAACCACCAAUGCUAAAGUGGAUGCAGCGGAUGCUGCACAGUCACCGUUAUCUUACAUGACUAUUUUUUAAGAAUAGUGCUGUACUCUUCACAUCUUGCUCUCAGUCCUGUUGCCUAGAACUAGUAACCUGUUGCACAAGUUAACGAAGCAUAAAAGGGUACAAAACUUAGUUGAUGUUAAGUAUAAUCAAGCACUGCAGCCAUUGCUUAGAAGAUACCAUGUCUGUGCUAAUAUUAACCCAAUCUCAUUCAAUUAUAUUGACGAGUGUAACAAGUUGCUAGUCUGGAGGAUAAUUAGGGACGAAGAUGAUGCUUGGAUUGGGAGGGUCUUUGAGGAUGAAAAUGAUGGUACUCGUAAUUAGGAAUCUAUUUUUAGGGAUACAUGAGUUUGAGAGCCUAGAACAUGUAUUAAACAAAGAACUAAAACAUUGAAAACCUCGUGCUGUAGGUGCUUCAUCUAAGACAAAGAAAGGUUUGGUAAGUGCAUCUUCAUCCAGAAAAGAAAAAGAGAAAGCCGUUGAAGUGGAAGAUUAUGCAAUGUUGGAAGAAUCGGAAGAAGAAUUAGAAGACAUUGAUCUUGAAGAGUGAUAAGUAGUUGAAGGACAUGCCUCACUAUCCAACAAUAAGCAUGAUAGUUUUCUAGGGGGGAUAGGUCAAGGAUAAUGAAUAGAGUUGUUGUUUUGUUUACUUUUUUAGUGUUUUUAACAUAUUGUAUAGAACAAUUGAACUUGUACACUAUGAAGUGCAUACUCCAACACAGACACCUGACACAUAUGGAUACAUCGACACCACUAAUGUAAAAAUAUAGGACACCGAUACAUAUAUGAUGGUUUUUCACCUUCAUUGAUGUAUCUACUAGUGUUGUUUUUGGAUCAAAAAUAAUUUAAAAAAAAGUUUCAGCCACCGAAAAUAUUAUUGGAUUGAGUCGCGAACUAUGUCACUCUCUUUAAGGUGUUUUACGACAUUGCCUAAAAUUGUGCAAAUAGACUAUCAGCCACGUCCCCAAGAUAAAACAACCCAGAUGCAAACUGUGUCGAUAUUCUACUAUACUGUAGAAAACCGUUCUACAAAUUACACCGUUGAUAUGGCUAUUAUGGCCACUCAGAAGUAUGGUACUACGACCACUUUGAAUCGGACGGGACACAUUUAUUAGGUAAAGGGACACAAAGAAACAGAGAUGAACAAAAGAGGGAGAAGAGAGAAAACUUGGAAAAGGUUUGUGUUUUGGUGCACUUUCUGAAGUGAACGGAGUCCUCUGAAACUAGUUUAUAUUUUCCUUUUAUUUAAUUUUUAUGCAACAUAUUUUGUUAGUAUACACUAUACGUUUCUGUUCCUCAUCUGUAUUCUUGAUUUAUUUUUCAUACUCCUUGUAUCCUGUUUCAUUUUGAUUAACACCAUGCCGUGUGUCAUGGUUAUAUUGUUGCUUUUUGUUAAUGAUUUUUAUCUUCUGAUAAAUAGUUGAGGCGAUUUUUUGUCGUAUUCAGUUGUCUUGGGGAUAGGUUGGACAUUGGAUUGAUUGAUUAGUUAAUGUUAUUAUUUUGUUAGACGCUCACUUUUUUUUAUUAUAUUCAAUGUUUAGCAGUUAACGAGUAUGAAUGAUAUAUAAUAUAUUAGAUAUGAAGAUUUUUUAUGUUAGAUAUGAAUGAUAUGAAGAAUUUAUUUUAUUAUUAUUAUUAUUAUUAUUAUUAUUAUUUAUUAUUAUUAUUAUUAUUAUUAUUAUUUAUUAUCUUUUACAUUGCAGAAAUGGCAGCUUCUGGUAUGCCUACAGGCAAUGAGAUGCAUAAUUAUCUUGCUCACGAUGAUGACCGUUCUGGUCACCAAGCGGUAAAGGACACAAAAACAAUUGGAUCUGCUUAUGAUCGCUACCUUCAGAGUGGGGUAACAUUUCAUCCUUUAUAGUGGCUCAUUUUAUAUUACUAUUUUUUUUGGGGCAUUUUCCCUGCUUGUAAGCUGAAAACAUGCAUGUUAUGUUUUGAAGCAACUCUCUUCAUUUACUUCUGGGGAAGCCAGUACAAUUGGUGGUCUUGGAUUGCCAAGGGGUGUUGGUGGAUUACCAAACCAUUCCCUAGGUGAUCCUGCUGUCAUGGGGCGUCAUGGGGGUCCUGAUCUUGCACCAAAUGGACGGGGUAUUAAUUAUGGUUUUCAGCCACCGAUGGACGCAAUGUCCAGGCCUGGACCCGAGACAGCACUCCUACCCCCAGAUGCUUCAAGUACUUUAUAUAUUGAAGGUCUGCCUUCUGAUUGCACAAGAAGGGAAGUGGCUCGUAUCCUUUAUGUUAUGAUACAAUGCUUUGGAAUUGUAUUGUCUUGCUUUCAUGUAUGCCUCUUGAGCUUUAUAUAUUUUAACGCUGUUUUAUAUAUAUAUUCCUUAACGUCAUCUUAGAUAUUUUCCGCCCUUUUGUUGGAUAUAGAGAAGUGAGACUUGUAAGCAAAGAGGCCAAACAUGUAAGUGUACGUUUGUAAUAGAUUUCUGGUUGUGUUGAAAGCUGAAAUGUCCCCUUUAUGCUGAAAUGCCCGUUUCUUGCAGCGUGGAGAUCCUCUGAUCCUUUGUUUUGUGGACUUUGCAAAUCCAGCUUGUGCAGCAACUGCUUUGAGUGCCUUGCAAGGUAUCAUUUCUGUAGUUGUAUUUACUGAUAGAAAGGAAAUCAGUUUGAUUUAUAAAUAACAUGACAAUGACACUAACCUGACUCAAACAAAAUCGGUUGUGGUUUAAAGGAAAUCGGUUGGAAAUUUGUUAUGGUUCAAAGGAAAUCAGAUGUAGUAUCCUUACUUGACUCAAGCAACAAACUCACUGUUUUAAACUCUUAGGAAUGAGAAUGUUAGAUGGUUAUGUGUUAGGACUUAGCUUAGUAGAGUUAGUUAAUAAUAAUAGCUAGUUAAUGAGUUAGUUGAGGUUUAUAUAAGGCUGUUUAUAUGAAUAGGGAGGUUAGGGAGUUAGAGAGAUAUCCUUUGAAUAUUGUAAUCAAUUGUUGAAUAGAGAAUAGUCUCUAUUGUGAAGGGGAAACCCUUGGAGGAGAGAUUGCUCUCCUAAUUCUUAAUAAAAGUGUUCCUUCUUAGGAAUCCGAUUCUUGGGUUUCCAACCUUGUGUUUAGUACUUUAGUUAGGAUUAUUGUGUAUAAAUAAGUAGUUACGUAGUUGAACGCGGAUGACUGAAAUUGAAUUUUGUAAACAUUUGUUAAAUAGAGAAGAGACUAUAUUGUGAAGGGGAAAACCUUGGAGGAGAGAUUUCUCUCAUAUUCUUUCUUAUCUUUUCUAAAUAUAAGUGUUCUUCCUCUAAUUCCUUGGAAUCCAAAUCUUAGGGUUCCUAAUAAAAACCCAAGAUUUGUUGAGUUGGUAUCACAUGGGCUAGAUAGAAGCAAUAUUUUGGGUCACAUCGUUGCAUGUGAUAGAUGUUUAUUCUAUUAUUAUUCAGAAUUUCUUUUCUCUACCAAUAAUUUCAAUGAAAUAUUGUUCCAUUUUAUCAUUGAUAUCUAGAAAUAUCAAUUUUCUAUUUAAUCAACCAUAGAAUGAUAGUUAAAAUUGCUUUAUAUCCAUUCUUUUAACCCCCUUUUUUCAGUGUGGUUGAAUUUAAAUUAUAUAACAAACAGAUCAUACUUUUAAUUUUGGUGCAAACAAAUAUGUUAUUCAUUAGUUAAUGGAAAUUUAGGGACUGGGAUUCACUGCAUUCAGGCCCCUCUGACUGCAAUGCAGACACUUGGGACCGUUUGAUUAAGAUUGGACUGUAUAGAUUUCAAGUUCGGAUUUUAAAUUUAAAAAAAGUUAUGAUCCGAACUUAAAAUCUAUACUGUCCAAUCUUAAUCCGACAGUCCAGAUGCACUGAUUGCACUGCAGUGAAUCCAAGUUCGAAAUUUAGGUCGAGUAAGAAUACUAUUACUAAAUAGCUGACUUGACAAGGACAGAAAAUACAAGAUGAUUCACUUAAACUGUUUAUCUAGAAUGCUUAUUUUCCUGAAAUGUGCUCCGAUGGUUGGCAAAGUUAAUGGCCAUAUUCAUAUCCAUGAUUAUCACAUUCAUAUCUAUGCUUAGUGAUAUUUUAAGGAAUUUGGUAUUUACUAACCUUGUGGUUCGGGCACAGGUUAUAAAGUCGAUGAAAUCAGUCCCGAGUCUAGUCAUUUGCGGCUUCAAUUUUCUCGGUAUCCUGGUCCAAGAGGUGGAGCUGGUCCGAGAAGUGGACCUGGUCCAAGAAGUGGACCUGGAUCUCGUGGUAAGAGGUGACUCACAUUUGGCUACAAUCCUUAUUAGAGCCCUUGAGAUGCACAAAUUAUUAUUAUUAGUAACAGCCUGAAAUCAAAUAGCAAUUUCAUUUUAGCAAAUUUACUUUUGGUGGUGUAUCAUUAUUGCUAAAUUAAGUAUGAACCUUUACUUUGUGGUAGCCUUUACUUCGUGUUGACCAGUAACUGUAAUAUUCAAUUAUGAUUUUUUUUUGGUAGUCUAAUUUAUGGUAGCCUUUAUUUUGUGUUGGACCAAUAACUGUAUUAUUCAAUUUUGAUAUCUUUUUUGGUUAUUCAAUAUUAUCCAUUUACUUGGUAUGCACUUACACUUGGGUAUGUGCUUUACUACUACAGAGAGCGAAUGUAGAUUGAUGUUUUCACCUUCAGCUGCCUCAACUUUCUUUCAUUGGUGAAAUGGCCCAAAAUUGUUUUAUUUUUGUGGGACAUUAAGCUAGCUAGUUUUGACAAAUGGACUAUUAUAGGGAUCUAUUGUCUACUACUGAUAGAUUUGAUGAUAAAGCAUUUAAGGUGUUUGGCACAUGGACAUUCUGCUUAGGAUGGCAAGGAUGAAUGUGCAAGAUUUUUUAUUUUAUUUUUUUCAUGUUGGUUUUGGUGGUUAUGUACAUAGUAGAAAUACCAAAUGAUAAAAAAUGGGAAAUGCUGAUAAAGAAUAAGAAAAGGAAAUAUAAUUGUAAAGUUGUGCGAUCAAUAUUUUGAAAUUUUAAAAUGUGAUUUUUUCAUGUAACAUUUUUUAUUUGUUUUUAAUAAGUGUUCUAAGAGCACUUGUUAAUAUGAUCCUAAAAACAUUGAUCGAACCUUAAGAACAAGCUUAUUUUGUUACAGCAUGACUUUUUUUGUCGAUUUCGUAACAUCUCUUUCUAUAUAUAAGUUGUUGAUCUACAAAUGACGAGUUUGCUCUAAUUAAAGUUGAUUCUCAACUGAAUAGUCUUGGAUCGACUAAUACAUCAGUCCUUUAGAACAAGAUUCCCUCUAGUUGAUCAAUUCAUCUGGUUCAAACUUCAUGAUAGUUCUACACCCAAAAAAUCAACAUGAGGGUAAUCAUCUGAAAUCUCACAUUAUUCUAGAUUAUUCAAGAAGAUAUCUUACACUCUAAAAAAGUUACAACAAAAACGAAUCAAUUUUAAAUUUCAUGACAAUAGUCCAUGUUUGUACAAGAUCGUCCAAAUUAUGUGAUACAAGGUCAUACAAAUUAUGUGCAACAUUCAUCCUUAAAGACCAAUGAUAAAAAAUUGCUGAAAUCUUUGCAACAACUUUAUUACAUGACUGCUAUAAAUAGUACACUACCUCAUUUUAGAAAAUAAUUGAAUUUCUAAAAAAAGCUAAUGAGAAAAAGCUUUUGAGACACCAAGAUAAAUAUUCUAAAAAAUUCAGUGAACACUUAUGUUCAAAUCAUUUAUUUUGAAAGUUUAUUCACUUGUAAUUUAUGCUUAAAUAUCUUAUCCUCUUUUGAAAAGAAUUAUCACUUUGUAAUUCACAAAACCUUGAUUUUGUAACAUAGUUCGACAGUGGCUGUUGCUCCCAAAAGUUUGACCGUACUAAACUAGAAUCUUAAAAAGAGUGAGUGUAGUUAAUUAAAAAAAAUAUAAUUUAAUAGAAAAAAUAGAGUUUUAUUUAAUAGCGAGAGAUAACCGACCACCGUGAGAUGGCUGAAUCACUCCCACCAACCGAUCAACCACCACCAAUGGUGCAAUAUGAAAUGAGGUUAAUCCACAUAUGAAGUGUACACAUAUCACUAUUUUUUUUUAUAUCUUCAAAUAGCCUUGGUCUACUCAGUUAGGAGAUAUUAUCCAAGCCUUUAUCAUUUAUGGCACUAUUUCUAUGUCUUUUAACAGUGCAUCUUCAAAACCAUAUGCAUAAUUAAUAUGGUUCAUUAUAUUGCUUUAACUAUCAUAAUCAAGAGAGUUGCAUGUGCAAGCAUAAAAUUUGGUUGAAAACCUAACAACAUUUUUCAAUAAUAUUCCUUUUAGUACGAUAUGGGAGAGUGGGAGUAGUUGAAACAUGGUGGGGAUGAAGAGGAUGCAAGAGACAAUAAGGUGUGGAAGGUUUACUAUUAAAUCCACUAGAUUUGCAAUAUUGCUUAAAAAGAUAAUGUGGUGAUUUGUUCCUUCGUGAACCAUCUAUUACGGUGGUUCACGAUAAAUAUUAUUUUAAGUUUUAUGUAUUCGAUUUCAAAAUAUUUGUAAACAAUAUUUUCUUUUGAGAAAAAUUUUUAAACUAUAAUUUAAUAUCUCUUUAUGAGUGUUUUACUCAAUUUAUUUAUUUUUUCAUCUAAAUUGAUGGUUAGAAGUACAAGGAAGAUUCAUGAAUUAUUUAAAAGGACAUAAUAUAAAAUAUAUAGAUGAAUAAUGUUUGAGAAUAGAAAAGCCUUACUAUGAUUGAAACAAAGAAAACUAGAAUAAUAUAUAUAUAAAAAAAAAAAACUAAAAAAAUUAUAUAAUUGAAGUAGGCGUGACAAUAGACUCAACAUGAUAAGUUAAUUCAUGGUUUUAGAUAGGAAGAAUUAAAAUUUUAAAUUUAUUAUUUUGUUUAAGUUAACUCAGCUUUUUUAUUAGUUAAAAAUUAAGUCAAAAAAGAUUUCAAUGUCGGAUUAAAUUGUUUUCUUAGGCUCAAGGUUGGAUUAGUCAAAAAAUUAUUUUCAAUUAUUUUUCUAUUACAAUCAUUCUAUCAUUAAAGAUAUUUAAUUUUUAUAUUGACUGUGCAUAUGAUUAAACUCUUUUAAUAUUUUUCUUGUUAUUAUUUGAGAAUUUAUUCUUGUAAAGACAUAUAGUAAUACUAGUUCAAUAUUAAAAAAAAACAAUUUUUUUUUAUGGUUUGAUAGUCUAUCCUCUAAAAAUCAAUAUUUUUUUUUUUUUUUUAUAUACUUAUUGUAUUUCUUACCAACUCGUCAACUUGUGGCUAAAAAAUUAUAUCUUAUAUCUCUAAAAUUAUAAUCCCAUCCAAUAUUUUAUACAAACCAUUAAUUUUACUUCUCUUUAAUUUUUUAAUUUUUAAAACUAGAUAUUAAGUUGAAUGUUUAGAAAAUUUGUGGAGCAAGAGAUGACAAAAUAGAUCAGUACACUUCAUUUAAUCCACCAAAAAGUAGAAUAAGACAAUUCGAUUUAAAUGAUUAAGUCGAAAAUACUACUUUAAUCUACCCCAUGACAAGUUGGCAUGCAGAUCUAUCAAAAAAACUAUUUUUUUAUUUAAUAUUUUACAAAAAAUAGACUAAAUUACAUUUGUAGUCCUUUAACUUAAUUUCAGGUAACGUUUUAGUCCUUUAUUUUUUUUUCCCGACUUGGUCCUUUAUUUUAAUUUUAAGUGACAAUUUGAUAUUUUAUGUUUUAAAAUUUCAACAAUGAUAUCCUUUUUUAUACAAAAAUUCAAAAAAAAAUUCAAUCAAAACUCAUAAAAUUAAUUAUAUUCUUCAAUAUAAUACAACUUUUAUCAAAUUCCUAACGCAAAUCUUCAAAUAAAUUCAUAUUUUCAUACUUUAUUUGAUAUUUUUAGGAAUAAAGGAUUAAAUCGGGAAAAAAAAUAAAAGACUAAAACGUUACCUGAAAUUAAGUUAAAGGACCACGAAUAUAAUUUAGCCUAAAAAAUAAUAAAAACAAUUAUAAUCGAACAACUAAAUUAACACGUUUGUAACGCGAAGUGUGUUCUUUUAAAAAAAAAUUAUUAUUAAUUUAUUCUUUUUAGACAAAUUUGUCACCUCCAAACUUGGGGACAACCGGUCCAUAAUCUCAUUAUUGGGUCCUUUGGUUGUGACAAUUUAUUUGUGAAAAAUGAAUUAGUCAAAUAUAGCUUUUAAUAUAUUAUAUUUUUUAAAAUUCAGUAUUUUUACUAUCAAAUAAUUCUAUUUUGUACAUUUUGCUCUCAUUUGAUUGUUUCAUUCAAUAUAUCUUCCAAUAUUAUGAAUUUCGAAUUGGAUUUUAAGUAAACCUAGCUAAUUUUGAAAAGUUUCUACAAAUAAAAGAGAUGGUCAUAUAUAAUUUAGUAAUAUGCAUUAGUGACCAGUUACUAUUUCUUACUUUAUCUUUAUCUGUUCUAAAAUAUAAAUAAAAAUUGUUUAAAGAAAGUUAAUAUAUUAUGUUCAAAAUUUAUAUUAAAUGUAUCAAUUUUUUAUUUAUUUUUCUUAUAUUUUGAGACGAAAGUAGUAUAUGUAUAGACAUGAAAAUCAAAUAGAUGCAAGAUAAUGAGAUACGUCUUUGUCUCAUAUUUAAUUCUCGGCAAUGUUAACCACUUAUGGAAAGAUAUGUUGGUAUUUAUUUUAAUAGUCAUGCUAACAAGUGUCAUAUAGAAAUUUGUUAAGAAAACAAAAAAGAAAAUAAAAAUAAAAGAUUUAAAUAAAAAUAUCACUUUUGAAUAUUUCAAGGAAUUGGAUGUACAAUUUUCUAUAAUAUAUUUCCUUUUGAAUUUAUUAACAAAUGUUGUUGGAAAGUUGUUAGCAUUUUUCUUAUCUUAAUAGUUGUGUUUACUUGAAUUUGGUGUUAGGGCACUCCACUCCUGUUUAGUAAAGAAAAUAAUAUUAAUUAUAAAAAAUAAAACUUCAAAAAGAUAUAAAAAUUCAAUAAGGAGAUGAGGUAAGAAGAAAUAUAGUAAGAAUAUUAUAUCUAAAAAAUUUAAAAUAAUAAUAAUAAUAAUAAUUGUAUUUAUAAAAUAUAUUUUCUCUGUCCUAAAUUAUAUCUUGCUUUGCAAAAAUAAAAUUGUUCUAAAUUGUAUAUCAUUUUACAUUAUUAAUGAAACAUUAAUUUUUCUUUUCCUAUCACAUCCUCUACUAUUUAUUACUCUCUCUUCUUUCAAUUAAUAAGGAAUGAUUUUAUAAAAUAAUAAUAUAACCUUCUUUUUAUAUAUAAAAUUAACUAUAAUAAUUUAGUUCAACAGACAAAUGUUGAUAUUGUAUUCUAUAUUUCAAAUACAAAUUUAAGACCACACAAUUAAAUACAAGUUUUUUUUUUUUUUUUUUAUCAUUUUAUCUACAGAAAAAAACUAUAUUUUUUAACUAGUGUGAAAUAGUCAAAAUAACAUAUAAUUUAAAAUGAAAUGAGUAUUUAUUAAAUGAAAAAAAUGCUAAGUAAUAAACAAAUUUAUCUCAUCAAAAUUAUUGGGGGCCAAGUCAGUGGCAUAGUUGCCUUGUAACACUAUAUAUCUCAAUUGAUAAAAGAGACUUAAAAAGCAAUUUCAAUUAUAGUGGUCCCACAAACCUAAGCCACAGCUCAUCAGAGAAAGAAAGGUCAACCUUUUGUAGUAUGCAUUCACAACUAAGACAUUUUUGGUUCAUGUUAAUAAUUAGGCAAUUGUCCUAACUUAGAAACAUUUAUAAAAAUGCCAAAUACUUAAGGCUAAAUAAUUCGAAACCACUUUGACUCUUUGUGUGGUUUUUAGGUAUGUUUGGUGGGUAACAGGCAGCUCCAUUAUUUGUUAAAUAAAUUAAUCCAAUUAAUAAAAUUAAUUAAAAUCAUAUUUUGUUCAUGAACAUAAUCUUGUUCUAAUUAUUUUUUAUUUUUAUUUUUACAAAGUUUAAGUUUCAUCUAUUUUGAAAUAAUAAAGUUUAAAUUUUGUCUAUUUUGAAAAUGUUAAACUUAGUCUGAUAUAUUAUCUAUUAUACUUCUAUUUUUAAAGUCUAAAUUGAUCGUUUUCAAAUAUCUAAAAAAAUCUGAAUAUUUGUUUAAAAACUUAAAUUUUAUUUUAUUUUUAUAAAAGUCACACCUACUCUAGUGGUAAUUAGUGUAAGUUUUUGUAAAUACAUUAAAAAAUUAAUGUCAAUAAAAUAAUUUUUUAAUAUCUAACACAAAUUUUUAAAUCUAUUAUUAAAUAAUAUUUUAUUUUAUUUAUUUUAUAAUAAUACUAUUAAAUAUAAAAAAAUUAAUAUAUGUUAACAUGUUUAAAUCACAUAAAAUAUUAAUAAAUUUAUGAUUUAAUAUAAAGUACAAUAUUUAAUAUUAUAAUAGAUAAUAACAUAAAAAUAUGUAUUUAUAUUUAAUGAAGUAGAUUGACAUAAUAAAUUCAAAUAGAUUAAAAAAAAUUUUUUUGGCUUGAUCUGUGUAAAAAACAAUUUCUUCUCUCUUCUUUAUGUUUUCAAAUAAAUAUACAUUAAGAUCGAUUCAAAUGUGUAUUUUAACAAAAAAAAAAAAAACAUCUAAAUUAAUUAAUCUAAUUGAGUGCUUUUGAUAAUAUUAUUAAAAGAGGAGAAGAAACACACCUAUAGUGAUAUAUUAUAUGCCAUAUGAAUAUGCCUCAUGUUAUCAUUUCUUUGUCGCUUCAUGAAGUGAAACGAUUGUUUGACCCUGAAAAUUAUAAAUCAAACUGAUUGUAACAUUUAACAAAUUUUAAGGCAUCUUAGUCCUUAAUUCAUUAUAUAUGCUAUAAUGCUAUAUUUUGACCUGCAACAGGCUCAAGUACAGACCAAUAUUUCUUUUAUUUUAUCAAAAUCAUGUUCAGUACUAAACUAAUAGUAACAUGGACAGGCCUGAAAAUUUUAUAUCAUAACGACAAAAAUUCAUAUAUAAAAUUGUAACACUUAUAACUAACACAUUUGAUUUAAACGAUUUAAAUGGUUAACGAGUUAAUUAAAGAUAAAUUAUUUGAUAGAAUUUAAAUUUAAAUUAAAAUAACUUUUAAUUAAUUUUUUUUUAUUUUAAAAAAAUUGUAAUACUUUUUUUAGUAAUAUAAAUUUAUAACACCAAAAGCAUAUAUAACAUUAUAUUUAAAAGUUUAAGUUUUUGAUUACAGAAAUAUUAACUUUUUAAUAUAUCAACAGAUAUAAUUCUUUAAAAGAAUUAUAAUAAUUCUCAAUCCAAAGCUUAUAAAUUAUAUGUAUAUAUUUUUAAAUAUAUAUAUAUAUAUAUAUAUAUAUUAAAUAUAUACUAAAGAUUUCUUAGUAUUCUCCAAAGGUGUAUUUUGUAGAAAUUCAAUUUUAUUGGUUCCACUCAAAAUGGUGUAUUUGCCGACUAAACUACGCCAUUUGUUGAAUACCAAUUCAUUUUAAAAAGAGUUAAAACUCAAUCUAUUAUGCAUGUUUAAUAUUAUUUUUAAUUUUUGAUGAUAUAUUUUAUUGAUUUAAAUAUAUGUUUGGUUCUAUAAAUUAAUUUUUUAUUUUAUUUUAUUUUUGUCUUUAUAAUUCUUUUAAUUUUAAAUUUAAGUAUAUAGUUUUGUUUUAAAAUCAUCUCUGCUGUCAAUAAUUGUUAAAAAAAAUUGUUGAGAUAACAAACAGAGAGAAAAAAAAAAAUAAAGUGAAUUUACAGAAAUAAAAAUCAAACAAAAAACAUAUAUGUUUCGUUAUUAUAAGUUUGUAUAUUUUUUAUUUUUCGUAAAUUCACAUUUUUUUUUAUAUUCAUCUUUUAUUUAUUUGACAUUUCAAUUUUUUUUACCAAUCACUAAUAGUAAGACGAUUUUAAAAGAAAUUAAAUUUACAUAAUUAAAUUUUAAAACAAAAAAUUUAAAAGAAAAAAAAUGCUAACUUACAUUACAAAACAUAUAUUUAAAUCAAAUUAUAUAUAGUCUAAGUUUUUUUUAAAGAAGUUAUUGCACUCAAUUGAUAUUUUCUCAUAAAGAUUAUAUGAUUGGUUCUAACGCAGUAUAGUAAACAACGACCCUUUAAAAUUAUUAAAAAAAGACCUUGAAAUGUCUGGUUUAUGCUUUAUAUAAUAUUACUCAUGUCUUUUUUAUACAAAACUCAUUUGAUCAAUUUGAAAAAAAAAAAAAAUAGUUUUCAUAUAUGAUGUGUUGUAUAUUUUCUUUUUAAAUUUAUUCAAUUAACACGAGACAUAAGUAAAUAAUCUUAAUAAUAUUUUUAUUUAAUUAAAGAUAUUUUUGUAAAAAAUUAAUGGACUUUAUAAUUUGUAAAAAGUUUUUAGUAAGAGACAGAAAUAUUUUACAAAAAGAGUAUUAUGUAUAGGGACAAAUGUAGCAAUUUACGAUUGCUGCCCUAUUAAGUUUUUAUAGUCUUGUAUAUAAAGACAAAAGGGUUUUAUUAUUAUUUUUGGGGUACAAUUUUCCAGCUAAAUUUUAUCAUAGUUCUAUUUGUUAUUCAAAUUUGAAAAUGAUACAAAGAUCGAUAAAGACAUUUAAUCACUUUUUUCUUUUUACUCAACAUUAAAUUAUAAAAAAAUGUAUAUGUAGUUACCUAAACACUUUGGCUAAGUAAUACAACAUGGAAAACACUUGGUCGACAUCUAUAUAUCCAAUUGAUUAUUUGAGGGAGAGAAAAAUAAAUAUAGUAAUAUAAUAUAUUGAUGAUAUUAUAAGAAAAGAGGAAUACAAAUAAAAUAAAAUAUUAAAUAAAGGUAUAAAAAUUAAGAGCGUAAGUGUAUACAUAUCACUACUCGUACAAUAUUAUAGUUUAAACUAAUAAAAUACACAUGAGAAAUAAAUAGGUACGUGAAUAAUCAUAUUCUCUCCAAAUGUGUUUUUAUAAUCCAAUGAAAGUUUUAUUUAUAUGACACAUAUAGGUAUGCGAAUAAUUAUAUUUAAAGACUAAUUCUUGAAUGAAUAUUUGAUGAAGAUUGAAUAAAAGUGUUUAUCUCUAAAGGAAGAAACAAAUCAAUAUUUAAAGAGAUAUGGUUAUGUAAGAAACUAUUAUGCAACACAAUAUAAAUAAAUGAUUUGUAACUGGUAAGAUUUAAUUAUGUAGGUCUUAUGAAUCAAUUCACAUGUAUAUGAGUUGAUUCAUAAGUUUGGCAACAUCUAAAAUUUUAAUCUUGAUCCGUAUCAAACCAUUCAUGAUCUUUUUGAGUCAACUUAUCUACUUUCAAGAUGUUUAGUGAAACGAUUCACACAUCUAGUGAAUCAAUUCAUCUAUAAAAAAUUCUUUGUAUUUAUUUUAUUAGAACCUUUCUAAGUUGAUUAUUCAUAUGAACAUGAGUCAAUUUAUGGAGUUAAAAAUUACUUUGGAAAGAGUUUUAAUGCAUUGUACGAGUUUCAAACAUGUUUAAACAUGCACCUAAAGGUCUGCAAUAAAAUGAGGUUAUGAAAAUUAUUUUUCUUACUCAAAAACAUUUGUCAAUAUUAAAAAUUGAAAAAUCAAUAAAGACACACAAAACCAUCUAGUUAGAAUUAACCUAGUUUUAACAUACAUCAAAACACUAAGUUUUUCCUAGUGAAACUUGCAUUCACAUACUCCUCCUUUAUCAUGAUGGCUAAACAUGCAAAACUUUGAUGAUGAACAUCAUUUAAUAUAUCAUUGAAUCGAAAAUGCUCCCCAUGAACAAGGGCUUUUAGGGUGUAUAUGCACGACUUUGAAAAACAUGAAAUUUGCUUCUACAAAUUAUGCAAUAUUUUUCUCUCCAUUUAUCAUUACAAAAAAGAAGACAAAAAUCAUAAAAUUAACAAUAUCGAACAAUUUUCAUGCAAAAAAAAAAAACAGCCAAAUGCCUAGAUAAUGCACGCAUAUAAUCCGUAACUACUCAAACAAUAAAUCGCAACUCAUAAAACAUAGAAAAUAUCAUCAAAUUACGAAGUAAAAAAGGCAAAGAACAAUUUUGUGAAUUUAUUUUGAAUGAUAUUUUGUAUCCAUAUUUACAACAAUAUAAAAUUUUCCUCCAUAUAAAAUGCACUAAAAAUUCAUUUUCUAACACCAUAUUUUAAAGAGUUUUAUCUUGAGCAUAUAAUAUUUUAAAAAAUCAUAUUUAAUUCAUUCCAAGUUAAAAAACUAUGAUUUUAUGUGGAUGAGCUUUAAAUAGUAUUUCAAACAUUUUUGUAAAAUAUCAUUAAAAAAUUUAAAAGUUGAAAGAUGUUUUGUUCCACCAAUGAUUAAAAUAGUUUGUACAAUAAUUUUGUACAAUAAUUUUGUAGGGACUAAAAAAUAUGUUUUUUACAGGACUAAAAAAAAUUUCAAAAUUUUAUAGGGACUAAAAAGUUAUUUAACUCUAUUAUAAAUGUGGUUUGAUUUGGUAUGAUUUUGAAAAAGAAAUCUGAAAUUCAAUAUGUGUGGUUUUCACAAAAGAAUAUAUAAAGACAUUCAAUUAUAUUUUGUUUUGUGCAAUAUUCGAUUUUUGGGGAUCAAUUUGCAAUUUUUACUUAGAUCGAUUUAAAUCCUUACUGUCUAAAGCAUUUACUUAAAAGGUUUCAUGCCAUUCUAUAUGUAAUUGUAAGUUCUCUAUGAUAAACUUAGUAUUUUGAUUGAUAUCAAAAUUAGGUUUGUCUAGUAAGAUGGUAUAUGUAUACCUUUUUUAUUUUCUAUUUCUCAAACAUUCACAAAUUCAUUUGAAUUGGACAAGUAACAUGAUACUCAUAGUUUGUCAUGCAUAACUUAGUUACAUGAUAUAAACAUGUUAGCAUAGAUUAAAUUGCAUUAAAAAUAUUUUUUAUGUGAUUUUAUUUAUUGGUAAAUAACCUCAUAAGUUUGUAAAUCUACUUAUAGAGGUCUUGAACUAAUUCUUAAUGUUCUAAAUCUUGUGAAUCAACUUAUCAAAUAUGAAAAUCGACUCACACUAUUCCAAAAGAUUUUAUGAGUCAAAUCACACACUUAUGAAACAGUUCACACUAUUUUAGGAUGAAAUUCAAGACUUUUAAGAACCAUGUGAAUUGAUUACCUGACCCUGCAAUUUGAUUCACAUGACAUGCAUAGUUAGUUUUGACAGUUACAAAAUAGUUAUUUCAAAUAUGAUGCAUUGAUUAUUGGCCAACUAUCUAACAUCUCUUUAUAGACUAAUCUAAUUCUUCAUUGAAGCUAAGAACACCCUCACCUAUUUCUAGAUUAAACAUUUUUGCAAAUUUAAGACUUGUUUGUGAGUGAAUUUUUUAGUGAUAAACAUCAAGAGAAGUGAUAUCUCAUGUUAGGUGAUUUUUCAGAUGUCGACGUCUAAGGGAUUUCAAUUGGCGUCAUGUUGAAGAAUUGAAGAGAGAAUUUAUUCAUGCUCCAGAGUUGCCUUUACUCCGAGCUUUAUCUUGAAAGAUUUGAGGGGUUAUUUUCAUUUUAAAGAUAGUGGUUUAGGUUAUUCUUGAAAUGUGGAAAUCUAGUUCAAAGGGUUUAGAGAAGAAAGGGUUGUGGUACAAGUAUUGUAACAAUUGCUAACAAUUUUUGUAAAUGUUUUAGUAAAUAAAAAAAGAAACUCUCAUUCAUUUAAAUAAGGAUUGAAUCUACUUUCCAUGCAAUGAUGAAGUAGAGGAACCAAUAUAAAAGUCGCUGAGUGUUUUCUCUUACUCUUAACUUUUUACAUUAUGCAUUUUUUGGUCAUUAUAGUUUUCGUAUCUUGGUGGUUGGCAGCGUAAAAUAUAUUUCCUUAUUUUUGAAUGAUAUAAAGAUUAGUAACAUUGAAAUUUUUGUUUGUAUAUAUUUUCAUAUUUUGAAUUGUUGAAUUAGAAAUUGUUGUGAAAUAACUUCAAAAUUUGCAAAUUGUAUCCAAAGUUGAAUUUUGUGUUUACUUAACAUUAAUAAUUUAUGCAUCAAAUCAAACAAUAACUCUAUUUUUACGACGUUUCCAAAAAAGUUCGCUGCUUGAUUGAAAAAUCUAUGAAAAGUGGAGAUUCUGUCCAACCCUUCUCUAGAGUAUAAAGGUGAGAAAAAUACAAGAAAAUGAGAUUUAAAUUGUGUUAAAUUUUUUUCUUUAAAAUAAAUUGUUAUAAAAUAUUUUUGAAAAAUAAACUUUUAAGAUAAAGAGAUAAGGAAUAGAGUAAAGACACAAGACAAUUAUCCUAAUACAACACCAAAGUGUAGCUAUGUCCAAUCUCUUCAACUUGAUGGAUUUUCUACAAAAAUCAAACUAAUUUUUCUUUCAACCACUAGAACAUACUAUUGUCAACUUGACUAUACACUAGUAUUCUCAAACUUCAAACUUAAUACAAUCAUGCUUUUGAGAAAACAACUACUAUUACGUCAAAUUACAAUGAAAAUAAAGUUCUAUAAAAUACCCGAUAACUCUUUAAUUGAAGAUAGAAGUUUAAGCUCAAAUUGGUGAUAAAAUUUCAUUAGAUAUUAUUUUGAAUAUAAGAUCACUUGAGUAAAUUAAAAUUAUCUCUCGGUUUCUUUAGUAGCGUGUUUGUUCAAUGAUAUUCUCUUAUGCAUUUGGGCGUAAGUAUUACUUAUAGUGAGAUUUGAAAGAGUCACACCCUAUGUCCUUAAAAGAUGUAUGAUUGUAAUAGAGGUCAUAAAUUUUUUUCUUUUAGGGUAAUGAUUUUUAUCCCACAUCACAACAUUUCUCUUUUCUAUUACCCCAAAUAAUCUAGAAAUUAAACUAUUAGACAAAAUAAAAUAAGUGACAAAAAUCAAUAAUUGAAAAUAAAAAAUAAAAAUUAUUUUUUACUUUUCUCAUUAUAAAAUACAGGGACAAAUUUAAAGAAGGAUUUCACAUUUUUUCUUCUCUAAAUUUUCUUCAUUAAUUUUUAGUUUUUUUAGUAGUAUAUUUUUGGAGUCGUAAAUGAAAUAAAUAAUUAUUGUCAAAAAAAUUAUAUAUAAUUAUGAAAUUUUAAUUUAAAAUUUAAAAUAUGAUAUUUAAACUAAAAAGUAAAGAUUUCAAAAAAUGUAUCUGUUCGACCAUUUUUUUAAAACUCGUUUUUGUAGCUAUUGAUAUUUUAUUAGCGACAUAUCAUGUCUUUACUUUAUUGACCUGCUCCAUAUGAACCUAAUCUAAGAUAUCGACUAGCUACAUGAAUACAUAUUAGUUAGUAUAUUAAGGAAACAAUGUUCUGUAUAGGUUUGAACUCACAAUACCUUAUUUUUUAACACUUAGUUUGUGUUGGUUUGCUACCAAAUUGUUUGUUAAAUAAACGUUGAUUUUUCCAUAUAUUCACAAUUUCACAUAUAUGAUACAUCUUGUUCUGCAAUAAGUGAACCAUUUUCAAAAAAGUAUUUGUCACAAAAUAAAUUAAUAUUUCAAUUUUCAAUAAACCAUUGAUUAUUUUAUCCAAUUACUCUAUAAUUAUUAUUACUUGCACCACUAAUCAAUCAAAAUUUAGCACUUUCAAUUUAUGACAAUGAUAAAUACAUUUGAUAUUGGUAAUUUAGCAAAUAUAUUGUUUUCUCUUUUUCAAUUUUUCAUUUUUCUUAAUUUGUGUCAAAUGUUCAAAUAGAUUAAUUAUUGUGACACGAAAGGAGUACUUGAUUAAUUUUUAUAAAAAUGAAAUUAGUAUUUUGAUCUUUAUAAUUGAUUUUUAUUAUAAUUUGAGUAUUGUAAGUGUUGAUUUUAUUGUAUUUUUACUCUACUACUUAAAAUAAGUGCUUUUGAGGUAAUGUAUGUACAUUUUUUGUUGGGUGGACUCACUCCCCAAGUGGAACCCAUUAGUUUUAUUAGUAUUAGUAUUAGUAUUAUUAUUAGUAUUAUUAUUAUUGAAAAAAAAGAAAGAAAAAAAAAAGGUUUAAAUAGGCUUGACCCACAUGAAGGAAAUAAAAAGGGAUUUAGAAAUCUCUAAGAAUUAGAACGAAAAAAAACGGCUGCCAAAAAAGAAAAAUAAGGGUUUGGUUCCGGUAGUGGUAACAAGUGUAGGAAACUUGUUCUGUUUGAUCUAUAAAUUUAGUAUGUUAUUCCUACCACUAAGUUUGUUAUUUUAAUAUACCGUUUGAGUAGUUUUAUCUUCUCUGUUACUUUGGCAUACCCACUUUAGUGGAAUGUUGUUAUAAGGUUGUUAUUGUUGAUUGAUGUUCCCUAUUGUUAUUAGGAUGACUUUGGUGUACCUAUUGAUCAGGCAGCGGUUGGAUAUGAGUGUAUAUCCACAUGUUGAAACUGGAAUAGAUGCUAACAAGAUGUUGGAAAAAUUAAAAGAGUUAUAUGAAUGAAAGAAUGUACAAAAUAAAGAAUUCUUGAUUCGGAAGCUGGUGAAUAUGAAAUACAAAGAUAAGGAUUCAAUGACAGAGCAUAUGAAUAUUUUUCAGAAUACAGUGAAUCAGUUGACAACUGCAGAAAUUAAAUUAGAUGAUGAGUUGCAAGUGUUGUUAUUGUUGAGUUCAUUGCCUGAUAAUUGGGAAGUUCUUGUUGUGAAGUUGACCAAUUUAGCUCCAAGUGGAAAGUUGAAAAUGUCAACAGUUAAAGAGAGCAUGUUGAAUGAAGAAGCUCGAAGAAAGGAACAUGGUUUGGUUGGUUCUUCCUAAAAGUCAGAAGCACUAGUUACAGAUUAACGGGGGAGAAGUCAAUCUAGAAACUUCUAUAGAAGCGACAACUCUGAAAGUCGUAGCAAGUCAAGAAGCAAGUUGAUGACUAGAAAAGAAGUGAUAUGCUAUCAUUGUGGCAAAGUGGGUCACAUAAAAGGAAAUUGCAAAGAGGGUCACGUAAAAGGAAAUUGCAGGUUCCUUAAGAGAUAUCAAUCAAAGGAAAGAGAUGAAGACAAAGAGAAGAAAAAUGAUAAAGAUACAACAACAAUUGCAUCUGUUAAUAAUGUCUACAUUGUUUUGUGAUGAUAAUUCCAUAAACCUUGCAUGUCAGGAUUCAACUUGGAUUAUUGAUUCGGGUGCCUCAUAUCAUGUUACUCCUAGGCGUGACUUCUUCUCAUCUUACAAUGCUGGUGAUUUUGGUUUGGUAAAAAUGGGAGAUGAAGGAGUAUGUAAAAUUAUCGGUAUGAGAGAUGUAUGGGUUGAAACUGGGAUUGGUUGCAAGCUUAAAUUGAAAAAUGUUAGACAUGUACCUAAUAUUCGUCUCAAUUUGAUUUUGGUGAAAGCCUUGGAUAUUGAGGGUUAUCACACUUACUUUGGUGGUGGUGGUAUAUGUGAAAUCACCAAGGAAGAAGUGAAUGCAAUUGAAGAUGCAUCUUCUGAUUUAUGGCAUAUGCGCCUCGGUCACUUGAGUGAGAAAUGACUUAACAUACUUGCGAAGAAAAAUUUUCUUCUUGUGAAAGGUACGUCUCUAAAAACUUGCACCCAUUGUUUUGCUAGAAAAUAACAUAGAGUUUCUUUUCAUAAUACUGGUCCUUAUAGGAGGCAAAAUAUUCUUGAUUUAGUUCAUACUGAUGUUUGUAUGAUGGAUAGUAAAUCUCUUGGUGGUGCAUCAUACUUUGUUACUUUUAUUGACGAUCACUCUAGAAAGGUGUGGGCCUUUCCUUUAAAAUAUAAAGGCUAGGUAUUUGGAGUCUUCAAGCAUUUUCAUACAAGUGUUGAAAGAGAAAAGGGAAGGAAAUUGAAAUGUUUUCGAUCAGAUAACGGUGGUGAUUACAAAGGUCCAUUUGAAGAGUAUUGUAGAGAACAUGGAAUCAGGUUCGAGAAAACAGUUCCAAAGACAACUCAACAUGAUGGUGUUGCAGAGAGAAUGAAUCUACGAUUAAUGACAGAAUCAGAUGUAUGAUCUCUCAUGCAAAAUUAUUGAAAUCCUUUUGGGGUGAAGCAAUGAAAACUGUAGUGAAUUUGAUCAAUCUUUCUCCUUCUAUUCCACUUGACGGUGAUGUUCCAAAUAGAGUGUGGACAGGGAAAAAUGUCUCUUUUACCGUCAUUUGAGUGUUUUUAGCUGCAGAUGUUUUGUUCACGUUCCAAGAGAUGAGAGGUCCAAGCUUGAUAGUAAAUCCAAACAGUGUAUAUUCGUCGGUUAUGGUGAUGAAGAAUUUGGUUAUAAAUUUUGGAUCCGGUUGACAAGAAAAUUACCAAAAGUCGAGAUGUGAUAUUUCUUAAAGACCCGACUAUUGAAGAUUUUGAUAAAGCUGAAAAAUAGAAACCAAAUUCCAGAAGUUACAUUGAUGUUGCACCUAAACCCCCUACAGAAACCUUUGUUGAUGGGAGAGAUAUACAGGUAGAUGAUGAGAAUGUAACUGAUGAUCAUGCACCUCACCCUGAUGAGCAGGUUCCAGUUGAACAACCAAACGAGUUUGAGUUGAGAAGAUCAACUAGAGAACCUCAACCUUCUCAAAGAUAUCCUCCAAAUGAGUAUGUGAUGAUCAAUGAUAAUGGAGAGCCAGAGUAUUAUCAAGAAGCUAUUACAAAUGUUGAUAAAGAAAAGUGGUUAAAGGCCAUGCAAGAAGAGAUGAAUUUCUUGCAUGAGAAUCACACAUUCGAUUUGGUAAAGUUGCCUAAUGGCAGAAAAUCACUCAAGAUCAAAUGGGUAUACAAGAUAAAGGCAGAAGAGAGUAGUUCUCAACCAAGAUACAAAGCAUGAUUGGUUGUGAAAGGUUUUAAUUAGAGAAAAGGCAUUGACUUUGAUGAAAUUUUUUCACCUGUGGUGAAGAUGUCCUCUAUCCGAGUUGUGCUUGGGUUAGCAGUUAGUUUGAACCUAGAAGUUGAACAACUUGAUGUGAAAACUGUAUUCCUUCACGGUGAUUUGGAGGAAGAGAUCUAUAUGGAGCAACCAAAGGGUUUCAAAGUCAAAGGUAAAGAGCAGCUUGUGUGCAAAUUAAAGGAAAACUUGUAUGGGCUCAAGCAAGCACCUCUACAAUGGUACAAGAAAUUCGAUUCUUUUAUAGAGAAACAUGGGUACGAUAAAACCACUUCUGACCAUUGUGUGUUUGUGAAGAAAUUCUCUGAUGGUGAUUAUAUUAUUCUCUUAUUAUAUGUGGAUGACAUGUUGAUUGUUGGUCAUGACACUAAGAAGAUUUAAUCUUUAAAGAAAGAUUUGAACAAGUUUUUGCAAUGAAAGACUUAGGUCCUGCAAAGCAAAUUCUGGGCAUGAGAAUUACUCGUGAUAUGAAGAAUAAUAAAUUGUGGUUGUCUCAACACAAUUACAUUGAGAAAGUUUUAGAGAGAUUCAACAUGAGCAGUUGCAAACCUGUUAGUACUCCACUUGCUACUCAUUUUAAAUUGAAUUAUGAUAAAUGUCUUACAAGUGAGAAAGACAAAGAAGAGAUGAAGAAGGUUCCUUAUGCAUCCGCAGUUGGUAGUUUGAUGUAUGCUAUGGUAUGCACAAGGCCAGAUAUUGCUCAUGCAGUUGGAGUUGUUAGUCGGUUUCUCUCUAGUCCUGAUAAAGUUCAUUGGCAAGCAGUGAAGUGGAUUCUUAGAUACCUCAGAGGCACUUCAAAAGUGUGAUUAUGCUAUGGAGGUAGUGAACCUGUGUUGGAUGGCUACACAGAUGCAUAUAUGGCAGGUGAUCUUGAUUCUAGAAAAUCUACUUCUAGUUAUAUGAUGACUUUUGCAGGGGGAGCUGUGUCUUGGCAAUCAAGACUACAAAAGUGUUUUGCUUUGUCCACUACUGAAGCUGAAUACAUUGCAGCAACUGAAGCUUCCAAAGAACUCUUGUGGAUGAAGAAAUUCCUACUGAGUUAGGCCUCAAGUAAGACAAGUUUGUGUUAUUAUGUGACAGUUAGAGUGCGAUCCAUCUUAGCAAGAAUCCGACUUUUCAUGCAAAGUUGAAGCAUAUUGAAGUGCGGUAUCAUUGGAUACGAGAUGCACUGGAAAUGAAGUCAUUUUUAAUUGAGAAGAUUCAUACUGAUGAGAAUGGUUUAGAUAUGAUCACGAAGACCUUACAUGUUUCGAAGAUGAUAUGCUGUAGAAAGAAAGCUGACAUGGUUGAGCAGUACCUUCCCACUUGAGUCGUGAUAGAAGGGAAAGUUGCUCACUACCACGCCACGGUGCUAGGGGACCAAUUUGGGGGCGACGUUGCAAGCAAAGAUUUUACCGGCUUUACUCGCGGUACCGGAAAACCACGUUGAAGCUAACGUUGAGGUAGGGGCUCCUUCCAAACUUCUAGUUUGCAUUAGGGACUUAGCUGUGGUUGUGUGGGAAGGAAAUUGUUAGGAUUUAAUGUAUCAAUUUGGGGAAAAACGAAUCUAGUGCGUUACGGGUAAAACCUUAGAGUUAGGUUUUGUUUAUAUUGAUGAAUGUUUCGACUGGAAAUGAAGUCAUUUUUAAUUGAGAAGAUUCAUACUGAUGAGAAUGGUUUAGAUAUGAUCACGAAGACCUUACAUGUUUCGAAGAUGAUAUGCUGUAGAAAGAAAGCUGACAUGGUUGAGCAGUACCUUCCCACUUGAGUCGUGAGGGGGAGAUUUGUUGGAUGGGCUCACUCCCCGAGUGAAACCCAAUAGUUUUAUUAGUAUUAAUAUUAUUAUUAGUAUUAUUAUUAAUGAAAAAAAAAAGAAAGAAAAAAAAAGUUUUAAUGGGCUUGGCCCACGUGAAGGAAAUAAAAAGGGAUUUAGAAAUCCCUAAGAAUUAGAACGAAAGAAAAUGGCUGCUAGAGAAGAAAAAUAAGGGUUUGAUUUUGGUGGUGGUAAAAGGUGUAGCAAACUUGUUCCGUUUGAUCUACAAAUUUAGUAUGUUAUUCCUACCACUGAGUUUGUUAUUUUAAUAUACAGUUUGAGUAAUUUUAUUUUCUCCGAGAGUUACUUUGCCCUACCCAAUUUAGUGGAAGGUUGUGAUAAGGUUGUUGUAAGACCCAUAAUUUUAAAAUACCAUUUAUGUAUUUUUGGUGUAUUUUGGAUUUUGGCUCGGAGGCUUUUAAGCCAAAGUUAAUAAUAUUUUGGAGUUUUAUAAUCAAAAAGAUAUUUCGAUGCCAAUUAAAAUUUCUCGUCGAUAAAUAAAUUGAAAUUAACUGCGGUGAAUCCUUUACGGAUAAUUUUAUGCGUUUCGGGCGAAACGGUAAUUUAACAAAUAUCUAGAUAUUUUGAGAUAUUUGUUAAGUUAUAUUUAUUAUCUAUAUAUGUUUGUUUGGAGGGAAAAAGAAAGGAAAACUAGAAGGAAAGAAAAGGAAAAGAAAAUAGUAUAAAAGGGAAAGAAGGAAAAAGGAAGAAAGGAAAAACAAAGGAAAGAAAAAGAAAGGAAAGAAAAUUGAAAAAUUCCAUCUUCUUCCUCUCAACCGUGACCCAUUUCUCCUCUUUCUCCCGUUUUCAUUUUCGACGCUUUCUUUUCUUCAAAACUNNNNNNNNNNNNNNNNNNNNNNNNNNNNNNNNNNNNNNNNNNNNNNNNNNNNNNNNNNNNNNNNNNNNNNNNNNNNNNNNNNNNNNNNNNNNNNNNNNNNNNNNNNNNNNNNNNNNNNNNNNNNNNNNNNNNNNNNNNNNNNNNNNNNNNNNNNNNNNNNNNNNNNNNNNNNNNNNNNNNNNNNNNNNNNNNNNNNNNNNNNNNNNNNNNNNNNNNNNNNNNNNNNNNNNNNNNNNNNNNNNNNNNNNNNNNNNNNNNNNNNNNNNNNNNNNNNNNNNNNNNNNNNNNNNNNNNNNNNNNNNNNNNNNNNNNNNNNNNNNNNNNNNNNNNNNNNNNNNNNNNNNNNNNNNNNNNNNNNNNNNNNNNNNNNNNNNNNNNNNNNNNNNNNNNNNNNNNNNNNNNNNNNNNNNNNNNNNNNNNNNNNNNNNNNNNNNNNNNNNNNNNNNNNNNNNNNNNNNNNNNNNNNNNNNNNNNNNNNNNNNNNNNNNNNNNNNNNNNNNNNNNNNNNNNNNNNNNNNNNNNNNNNNNNNNNNNNNNNNNNNNNNNNNNNNNNNNNNNNNNNNNNNNNNNNNNNNNNNNNNNNNNNNNNNNNNNNNNNNNNNNNNNNNNNNNNNNNNNNNNNNNNNNNNNNNNNNNNNNNNNNNNNNNNNNNNNNNNNNNNNNNNNNNNNNNNNNNNNNNNNNNNNNNNNNNNNNNNNNNNNNNNNNNNNNNNNNNNNNNNNNNNNNNNNNNNNNNNNNNNNNNNNNNNNNNNNNNNNNNNNNNNNNNNNNNNNNNNNNNNNNNNNNNNNNNNNNNNNNNNNNNNNNNNNNNNNNNNNNNNNNNNNNNNNNNNNNNNNNNNNNNNNNNNNNNNNNNNNNNNNNNNNNNNNNNNNNNNNNNNNNNNNNNNNNNNNNNNNNNNNNNNNNNNNNNNNNNNNNNNNNNNNNNNNNNNNNNNNNNNNNNNNNNNNNNNNNNNNNNNNNNNNNNNNNNNNNNNNNNNNNNNNNNNNNNNNNNNNNNNNNNNNNNNNNNNNNNNNNNNNNNNNNNNNNNNNNNNNNNNNNNNNNNUUAUGAAUUUUUGAAAGAAUACACAGGUAAAUCGAUUUCUCCAAUCGAUUGGAUGGUAAACAGGGACUUGGCCAAAUUGACAAAAUCGAUUAGCCAAUCGAUUUUGUAAUCAGUUUUCGAAAAUCAUUUAUGAAAUCGAUUGCCCAAUCGAUUGGGCCUUAAAUCAGGGACUCAUCCAUAUGCGACCAAAUCGAUGUGGACAUUGAUUGGCUUAAAAACUUGGGGCUCAAUACUCACUCAAUCGAUUUCCCAAUCGAUUGAAUCAAGCCAGAGUUCAAAAUUUCACUAAAAACCUUUAGGAAAUCGAUUUGGAAAUCGAUUGGCAUUAAGUCAGGGGCUCAGUCAUCCUGUCAAUCGAUUGCCUAAUCGAUUGAAUUAAGCCCAGGAUUCUGUCUUCAUCAAAAUCCUUCACCCCAAUCGAUUGCCUAAUCGAUUGGCUCAGUGAAAAUCCUCAGUUUUAGUUGUAUGAUUGUUUGCUCAUGAAACUAUCCAUGUCUUGAUUUGUUAUGUUAUAAUUAGGGGAUUGAGAACCUCAUUUUACUUUCAUUUUUAAUUGGCAAAGUAUUGUAUGAACUUUUCGCAUAUUGAAAAUCCUGUUAAGGUGCAUGCUUAGUUGAAAAGUUAUUUUGAGCAUUUAAAAACUUAAUUGCUAUGUGUUAACUGUUAUUUUUUUGGUUGGUGACCCUUUACAAUUAUUGUGGAAAUCUGGGCUUUGCCCUCAGAUGAGAGUCAGGACGGCCCUACCGGUUCGUACCCUACGGACGGGAAUGGAGAUGGGAACGCUUGACCGCAGUUACGUUAGGAGGAUCUCAUGGGGCGCGUGGAGAUCACUCAGGGUGUAUAGCUUUUUAGUAGGAUGAUCAGAUUAGGAUGAUGUAUAGGGACUAGGUGUCCUUCUUUUUGGAUUGGAGUAUUUUUAGCUUGGAAAACUGUACUCAUACUAAUAUUGUCAGUUUGACUUCUUUUUUUGAAUGGGUUCCAUGUACCAUUUGUUGUUGUGUAAAUGUUUUGGAUUUAUAAUUGGAGAAAAUUUUCCGCUGCUUGUAAAUAAUAAUGACUCAAUUAUUUAUCCAAAGGCAUCUCCUUAUUUAUUUCUCUGUUUUAGUUUAAUCUCUUUCGAAAAAAAAAUAUACCCUCGCUUUGAAAAACGGGGUGUUACAGUUGUUAUUGUUGAUUGAUGUUCCUUAUUGUUAUCAGGAAGACUUUGGUGUAUCCGUUAAUUAUUAUAGUGGAAGUUUUUACUAGACUAUGUCCCGUGGUUUUUAUUCUUUCAAUUUGAUGGAAGUUUUCCACGUUAAAAAUUGUGUUUGUCUCAUAUUUAAUUUUUUGCCAAUUAUUUUUGUUCUGUGGAAUUGUAUUUUCUGUUUGACCAUUUAUCUACAUUGGUGGGGAAAAAAAUAUUUCGCAUUAUUGAGAUAAUUAUCGCUAAUUAUCUCUAGUUUUUGCCAACAUUUAUUGGUAUGGGUUUUUUACUCUAAGUGAACAAUUGAUUAAAUUGUGAUUUUUGGAAAUUAUAAGAAUUAAAAUACGUUAAGAUAUACUCAUAAGAUAAUAUCAUUGAUUGAGUUGAUUUUUUAUAUUAUUUAUAUUUAUGCGUUACUAUAAUUGUAUUGAGCAGAAAAUAAAUAUGUUCAGGGAAUUGAUGUAAAUGGUGUUAGCAACGAUAUUAUUAAAAAAACAUGUCAAUCCUAUGAAUUAUGAAUAUGUGAGUGUGUGGUUUCAUUGGUGUAUAUGAAAUUGUCAAAUAUUUGACUUACGCUUAUGAUGUAUUGGAACCAAAUUGAUUUUAUAUUAAAAGUUUUUAUGAUAACAAAAACAUUUUAUGAAAUUAAUAUAUUUGACUUCAAAGAGUGUGAAAGAAGAUAUGAUCAAGAUUUGAAGAAGAUUUGAUCAAGAUUUAUCUACAACAAAAUACAAACAUAAUCAAUUUGGAGAAUUUACAAAUGCAAUCUGAACAAAAUAGGAACAUAAUCAAUCUGAAGAAUUUACAAUCUCAAUCUAAACAAUAUAGAAACAUAAUCAAUCUAAAUAAUUUACAAACACAAUCUGAACAAAAUACAAUUCAGAAUUAAACAAAGACUAAAUUCAAGGUAAGAGUAGUCUUAGAGUUCAAAGAGAGAAACACUUGUUCGAAUGAGAAAUAUUCUCUAAGUGUUUUUUCUUAGAGUGUGAGAGUUAUUAUUAUUAUUAUCAUCUUUGUUAGAAGCAAACACUUAAAGUUCCAAUCAUUUGUAUUCAACCCGAUAGUGGUUUAGUUCCUUCUUCAAUCUGGGGUUGUCAGGUUGUUUGGAAAAAAACUUGACUUGUAGAGUCAAGGUGGUCAGUUCUUCAAAAGUUUGAGGUUGUUAGGCUGUUUGGGAAGACUGGGUUGGAGGGCCAGGUCCUUUGUAAUUCAAGGUAAUUGAACUAGUGAAUUAAAAUCUUCUGAAUGAGGGGACUGAAUCUAGGCAAGUUGGUGGUGAACUAGGAUAAAUUUAUGUGUCAAAUUAUUUAUGCUUUCAUUGUUUACUACCUAUGAAUCUGAUUACUUCUACUCUAAGUAAGUCAACAAAAUCGACUUGUUUUUUGUUGUUGUUGUAAUAUAUCAAAAUGCUUUCAAGUUUGUCAAACACAAUUCAAACCCCCUUCUCGUGUUUGCACCUUCAAUUGACAUAAGACCUCGAUCUCAAGGCUGAGCACUUUACAAUGUUUGAGAAAAGAUCAAAGGAUUCGAGAUGUCUGGAUUAAGUGAAGAAGUUGAUGGAUGAAACAUCAACAUACCACCUAUGUUUGAUGUAGUACGUUUUGACUACUAGAAGGACAAACUGAGAAGUUUCUAUAUUUCACAAGAUCCUGAACUUCGGGAUUUGGUGGGAAAUAGUUAUAUUGCUCCGAAUAAUACUGAUGGUAUUGAAAUUCCAAGAAAGGAGAUGAAUGUUGAUCAGAAGAAGAUGUACAAGAUGCAUCAUAUGUCCAAAAUAUUCAUGAUAAAUGAAAUCACCUUCAAGGAGUUUGACAAGUGCACUAACAAGGAGACAACAAAGAUUAUUUAUGAUAUGAAGGAAACAAGCAAGUUCAAGAAGCAAACACCAACCUCCUAGUCAACAAGUAUGAGUUGUUCAAGAUGGAAGAAGAUGAAGACAUUGAAACAAUUUUUUCCAGAUUACAAACUCUGGUACCAUGAUUUAAGGUACUUGAAAAAAAGUUAUACUACUGCUGAUGAUAUGAAAAAGAUACUAAGGAGUCUGAAAAGCAAGUAGAGACCUAAGAUCAUUGUCAUUCAAGAAGAAAAGGAUCUGGAUACUCUUAAGCUGGAAUAAUUAAUCAGCUAUUUCAGAUCACAUGAAAUUGAGCUUGCAGAGGAUGAGCCCAAGAAGAAGCAACUAACCCGGGAUUUGAAAUCCAAAUAGAAGAAACUUCUGAAGGCAACAAAAAAAAUCAGAGGAUGAUGAUUCAUAUGAUCAAAAUGGAGACUUAAAGGAAGAGGAAUUGGCGUUUAUAUGCAAAAAAGUUUUAAAGAUGUGGCACAACAAAAAGAAUAUAUUCUAGGCAAUCCAACAAAGGAAAUGAUGAUAAAUAUGAAAAGAAAACCAUCAUCUGCUAUGAAUGCAAAGAACCUGGACAUAUCAGGUCAGAAUGUCCAAAUAUGAAAAAAGGGAAAAUUAGAGGAAAUAUUCUAGACUGAAGAAGAAAAGUAUGAAGGCUACAUGGGAUGAUUAUGGUGAAUCCUCUAAUGAUGAAUAACACACAGAUUUGGCUCUGAUGGUUCAUACCAACUCUGCAUCUUGAUCCAACACAAAUUGUGACUCUGGAAGUGAAUCAACAUAUGAAGAAAUUGAGGUAUUUUCUAACUUUACUCGAUCUGAUUUAGUUAUUACUAUAAAUGAUUUUUUAAAUAAGAAUCACAAAUUGUCUUUACAACUGAAAAAACACUUAGGAAAGAAAAUACAAAUCUAACUGAAAAAGUUAAUGUUUUAAAGAAUCAAAAUGCUGAAUUUAAAAUGGAAAAUGCAAUUCUGAAAACAGAUUUUACUAAACUUAAGACAGAUAAUGCAACUCUAAAAACUGAUAUUACUGAACUUAAAACAGAAAAUGAAAAUAUGAAAACUGAUAUUGCUUAACUUAAGACUGAAAAUCUAACUCUGAAAAGUAAUUAUAGUUCAACAUCAAUUGAAAAUACCACAUGUAACUCUGAUAAGUAUGAAAAAUUACUUCAAGAUUUUAUUGAUAAUGGUAUGGAAAUAAGCAAGUAUGCUUCUAUUAUUUAUGGUGUUUAGGAAUGGUAAAAGAGGAAUAGGAUUUUAAGAAAAAGUAAAUGAACCUAAGUUUGUUCCCUAUGAUGAUUUAUGUAUUAUUUACUAUAAGAAAGGUCACACUACAAUAUCUUGUAACCCCAAAAAUAAAAAUUAUUUUUAUUUCCUUAUUUUCUAAACAAUGAAAUUAUUUCGAAACAAAUAAAUAAAUAUCAAUUUUCAAACAUUUUUUUUUGUAAAAAGUAUCCCAUAAUCACGAACACGUCGAAUAAAUUUCAAGGUUCCAUCAAACUUAACAACUUGAAAUCACAAUAUCAGACAACAGAAUCCCUUUUGAGGUACACAUACUUAUGUUUUAAAUUAAGUGCAAAUAUAGUCCCAACCCGAUGUCACUAUCAGAGCGGGAAUUCCCAAAAUAGAAAAAAUGCUCAAAAUAACAUCAACACAAUGCAUAUAAUAAGAGUCUCCAAGAUAUGAUGGCUUCCGCCUCUCCAAUGGUACUAGACAUCACCUGCAACUUACAAUUCGUUUGCGUCCGUCGCAAACACCAAACACAAACAACGAGGGGUGAGUUUUGAAAUUAUGUCACAGUAUAAAAUACACGAGGAGAACAUGCAAGCAAUCAAAUUAUCACAAACUCAUAAGCAUUCAAGUGUAUAAUAUCGACGGUUCAUCAAAUUCAAUCACAAUAAGACAGUCGCAAGGAUGAAAUGCUAUGCAUGUCCUAUACUCUAUACUUCAUCAUUUGGUACCAUUCUACUCUGAAGUACUUGGUUAGGAGGCCUGAUACUAUGCCACUACAAGAGUGGACGAACAAUUCAUAAAUGGAUGAGUCCUCAUAGAUCCCCUCAACUCAACCCGAGACACAUAUACGCGACAGUCGGGGUACUCUUGUGUUGCACGGUAGUUCCCGGCCUUAGGGAAUAACCCACUAAUCCACUUAGGAAUUCCCCACUAGACCCCCAAGGUCUAUCAGUCUUACCUUACAGUUCGACUGUAGCCCUCCACGAUCAGGCUCAUUCAGUUGUACUUCCCUGAAUCACUAGGUCUGUCAGACCCUCCCUAUAUGAUGACAAAAUAAUCCUAACUCCAAAAUCUACAACACAUAUCUCAUACUUACUCGAUCAUCACAAUUCAAUAAGUUUUGGUUUGACUUCACAAUAUUCAUCAUUAUAUAUAGUUAUAUCAGUCAAUCACAUAAAAUCCCAAUAUUUGAUUUACACUACUCACAAUACACAGUCCAGUCUCAUUAAUCACAUAAUAAGGAAUCAAUUUAGUGCACUUUCAAGUAAUAUCAUAAUUUCAAUCAAGUAGACAAGAACACUCAAAUACAUAUCAUUCAUACAAUAACAAUUUGUAUAUGUUUCAUAAAAUCAAAUAACACGCAAUCUUAAUACAAAUUAAUUCACACAAUUCUAUAGGUUUCUAAAUUAUAUUUAAGUCCUCACUAUUACCAUUCAUAUAUUAUUAAUUAAUUAUUAUUACUCAAUAGGGCUCAACCGUACGUAGUAAGCCCCAAAUGAACAUCUGGAAAUUUCAGUAUUCCCGUUCAUCUCACGUUAUUUUAUACUCAUAAAAUCGAACAUCAUCUCACCCCUUACCUCGACUGAAGAUUUCGUCCAAUGAAUCUGAUAUGCUAACGGUUCCUCUUUUUGUCGGUCGUCGUCUCUAAUAAUCCGCGAGAGAGUUAUAGCCACACAACCACCAAAUACAAAUAAUUACUUACUAUAAAUAAAUGAAUAAAUAAAUGAAUAAAUAAUUAAAUAAAUAAAUAAAUAAGUAAAUAAGUAAAUAAUAAAAUAAAUAAAUAAAUAAUCUAAAUAAAUAAAUAAUUUACCUAAAUAAAUAAAUAAUCUAAAUAAAUAAAUAAUUAAAUGAGUAAAUAAAUAAAUAAUUAAAUAAAUAAAUAAAUACAUAAUUAAAUAAAUAAAUUAUCUAAAUAAAUAAUUAAAUAAAUUAUCUAAAUAAAUAAAUAAUUAAAUAAAUAAAUAAAUUAACUAAAUAAAUCAAUUAAUAAAUAAUCUAAAUAAAUAAUUAAAUAAGUAAAUAAAUAAAUUAUCUAAAUAAAUAACUAAAUAAUUAAAUUAAUUAAUAAAUAAAUUAUGUACUAUUUGUACUAAAACCCAAAAAUAUAUUAUAGUGGAGAACCUAAAAAAUUGAGUAACAUUUUUAAUUUAAAGGACUAAGUUGUCAUUUUAUAAAUCUAAGAAACCAGAUUCUCUUAAUAUUACAAUUUCAAUAAACCAAAAUUUUUUCAAACAACUUAUAUGCAUAGCUUGAUUUUAUAACGAAAGGAUAAAAAGUUUACGAUGGAAAGAUGAAAUUUUAGACUUCAAAUGCAACAAUGGGUUCGUAAAUUGGACUAACGAAAACAAGAAUGAGUUUGGAACCUGCGAGCUUGGUGAUGGAAGCGUACAAGGAAGAAUGCCAAGAAUACAUGACAUAGCCGGCAAGUUCGCCAUCAACGUGAAGAUAAAGCAAUCCACUGGUCUUCUUUUUGAGUUCGUUGUGAAAAAAAGGGAGCGAGCAAUUCGUGUUUUGGAAAUAUUUUUCUCUCCAAUUUCACUAUUUCUUCCACUACCUUACCACUGUUUCUCUCGAGUUCAAUUAUCGCUAGAUUAGCCAUCAUUCCUUACUAGCCAAUAUAUAUAUAUAUAUAUAUAUUUUUUGUUGCGGCACUAUUCAUUUGUACAUAAGGGUUAGUAUUUCUUAUGUAAGGACGAGGCUUUUGUUGGUGGAGGCGGCUACCUAGUGUUUAGAAAAAAUCUAACCUAAUAAGUCAUGCAUAUAUAUAUAUAUAUAUAUAUUAGUAGCAGGUCAUUUAUGCAGAUUGUUUAGGCGUCUUUCCUAUUACUCUUAAAAGGAUAGUGUGUUAGUAACAUAGUUUAAUAUGUGAUUUCAUUUUUUUAUUUUAUUAUUUUUUUUUUAUUUUGUUUAGUUCGUGUAAAGUUAAGCAAAUAAAUUUAUUUAAUAUCAAUAAUUCAAAUAAAUUAUCAAGAUUAAAAAAAAUGCGUAAGAAAUUAUUCCACCACAUAGAAUACACAUAUAAUAUAAUUUAUUAUAAUUUACUAUUAUCUAUUAAUUAAAUAUUUAGGGUGUUAUAUAUCACGAAUUCAGAAUUAAUUUAGGUCCAUUAAUUCCGUUUAUAGUAAAUUCAAUUUAUAACUUAUGCUAUUAAUAGAUAUUAUUGGCUAUUAUACGGAUAUUUAUGGCACAACAUCAUCAUCAUUAUUAUAUUUUAUAUAUAAAUGAUAUAGUUAUUUUUAUAUUUAUACUUCAUAAAUGUAAAUUCGAAUAAUAAGGAUCUAGAUAACAACACUACUAAAAUAUGAGGCCUAAGAUCAUAGCAAUUCAAAACUAGUAUAUAUUAUUGUUAUUAAAUAAAAUAAAUAGAUUUAAUAACAAUGAUCACUGAUUUUUAUUUAAAUAACUAUAAGGACAAACAUGAAGACAAUCACAAAAGAAAAUUAUUCUACCACAAGGAACACAUGUGUAAGAAAAUAUCACUAAUUUAUAAUAAUAAUAAUAAUAAUAAUAAUAAUAAUAAUAAUAAUAAUAAUAAUAAUAAUAAUAAAUUAAGGUAUAACAAUAAAUUAGGGUGUUACAUCUUGUCUCAUGCUAACCACAUGGAAAUACAAGAAACCUUCAAGAACUAAGAAACCAUGACCCAACCAGAUUUGGGUACCAAAGGAUAAGAUUAUUUAUGUUGUAGAUGUUCUAUGCAACCAAAUUGAAACACCAUUCAAAGUGCCUGGUCAGAAAAAGGUUUAUGUUCCAAGACUUAACAAAUAGAAGCCAACUGACUCUGGUGGAAAAAGGAUUGGUUUGCAUAACACCUAUCACAACCAAAACCAUAUGAUGAACCAGAAACAUCAAAAAAAUCUAGAGUAUCAACAUAAUCAAAUCUGACAGAGAAAUCACACAUAUCAACAAAACUAGAACUACCAGAAGAAUCAGAAUUACCAUCAGCUCUAAAAUUACCAAAGGAAUCUGAUACAUCAGCAGAAACAGAAGUGUCAAAUUAACAAUCAGAAUCGAGAGACUUCUUUGAGCACUCCAAUCAAAUUCAUCAAGACUACAAACCUAGAUGAGAAUUCAAAUCCCUUCAUCCAAACAUUCUAAUAAAAGAAUAUGCAAAUUCAAUAUCUGAAAACUAGAAAAGAAGAAAUAAGAGGGUUUUUAGAGUGAAACUGAAAUUGUUGACAUAUAGGUUAUAUAUUUCUCUAAAUUUAAUUAUUAUCUGAUAUUAUGUUUACUGUGAUAACAAGAAGCUUGAUCUUAAAAAUUCAAACUAGAUAAGUAUUUUGCAGGUUCUCAAAAAUUUAGAGGAAUAAGAAGAUCCACAUAAUCUGUAUACUUCAGUAGAAGUAGCAUACAAGUUUAGUUUUCAGAAACACACAAAAACCACCAGAAACAAAACUGAUGUUUUGGUUGUAUUGAUUUUAUUCUCCAAUUAUCUGAUUUAUAUUAUGUUUUAUGACAAACAACUUGAUCUUAAAAUGUCAAAGCAAGUUGAGGAUACUACUAGUUUAUCGGAACUAAAGGAAGCAGAUGCAAACAAACCAAAAUAUGACAAAUCUUUAAAGGAUGAAUAUGAUCAAGUUAGAAACAAUCAAGAUAAGUCUGAAGGAAAAUCUUGAUGGAUGUACAAGUCAUCUUAUCCUAAAAAUCUAAUAAAAUGAAGUAAAAAUGAUCCUUUGAAGACCAAACCAUUACUAAAAGUUACCACUUUGUUUGGCUUACUCUCAUCAAUUGAGCCUAGAUCUAUUGGUGAAGCAUUGGCAUAUGAUGGAUGGAUUCUUGCAAUGCAAGAAAAGUUAAAUGAAUUUAAGAGGAAUGAUGUUUGGGAUCUUGUACCUAGACCAUACAAGAACGUUAUUGGAACCACAUGGGUUUUUAGAAACAAGGCAAGACUUUUUGCACAAGGCUACAAUCAACAAGAGGGCAUUGAUUACACUAAGACAUUUGCUCCAAUAUAUAGGUUAGAAGUUAUUCGUAUCCUACUUUCUAUUGCUGCAAAUAAUAACAUUUCAUUAUUUCAAAUGGACGCUAAAAGUGAUUUUCUAAAUAGUUAUAUAAGUGAAGAAGUCUAUGUUAAACAACCCACAUGUUUUAAAAGUUCUGAAUUUCUAAAUCAUGUUUUUAAACUUAGGAAAUAUCUGUAUGGUUUAAAACAAGCACCUAGGGCAUGAUAUGAUAGACUUAGUAACUUCUUGCUUAAAAAUAACUUUGAAAAAGAACAAAUAGAUAAUACACUUUUUAGGAAAAUAGGAGAUGACAUUCUUAUUAUUCAAAUUUAUGUUGAUUACAUUAUUUUUGGAUAUACUAAUCACACUUUUUGCCAAAAGUCUUGUAAAUUAAUACAACUCGAAUUUCAAACGAGUAUAAUGUUAUAACUUAAGUUUUUCUUGGGGAUCCAAAUUCAUCAAAGUAAAAAAGGUAUAUACAUUCAUCAAACUAAAUAUACAAAAGAGUUUCUUAGAAUGUUUAAGAUGAGUGAUUGCAAAGCUAUGGCUAAACCAAUGCACCCUACUUGUUCACUUGAAAAAGAUGAUUCAGGUGAAAAAGUUGACCAAAAAAACCUAUAGAGGAAUGACAAGAUCCGUACUUUACCUUACCACUUCCAGACCUGACAUUAUGUUUAAUUUAUGUCUAUGUGCAAGAUUUCAAGCUGACUUUAUGAGAUCAUAUUUAACUGUUGUAAAAGGAAUCCUUAGAUACCUAAAAGGCACUACCAGCCUUACCUUGUUAUACGAGAAAUCUCCUAAGUACAAACUGAGUGGAUAUUGUGAUUCUGAUUGUGCUGAAGAUAAAUUUGAGAGAAAGCGCACUAGUGGCAACUACACCUUUCUUGGUUACAACUUAAUAUCUUGGUCAAGUAAGAUACAAAACACCAUUGCAAUGUCAACAACAAAGGCCAAGUACAUUUCAGUAGCUGACUGCAGCUCUCAACUACUUUGGAUGAAACAUCAACUUGAAGACAAAAAAAUCCUAGAACCCAACAUUCCCAUCUAUUGUGAUAAAACUUCUGCAAUUUGUCUAACCAAAAACUCUAUCUUACAUUCUAGAGCUAAACACAAAGAUAUCAAACACCACUUCAUUACAAACUUUGUUCAAAAAGGGGUACUAAACAUUCAAUUUGUAGAUACUAAGCACCAAUGGGCUAUUCACCAAACCACCACCUGAAGAUAGGUUUGACUUCAUCAAGAAAAACCUAAGCCUUACCGUCAUACUUGACUGAUGUUGUGAUCAAUUCAAAAUAAUUUAGCUUUACAUUAGUUUUUAUAUUUUCUUGUAAUAUGUUAUAUUCAUGUUAAUAAAAAAAACGAAAAAAAAAAACAAAAAAAAUAAAUGAAAGAAAAAAAAAGUCUCACCUUCAAGUCUUAUUGUCUGAUGACAAAAGGGAGAGAAAUAUAUUUCAUAAAGUGGGAGAGAAAAUGAUACUUAGACUCAGGGGGAGCCGUAAAUUAGGGGGAGUUAAAUAAAUAUAAAGAAAAGUUGUUAUAAAAAAAUAUAAAUUUUGUCAUAAUAAAAAAGAGGGAGAUUGUUGGAACCAAGUUGAUUUUAUACUUAGAGUUUUUAUGAUAACAAAAGUAUUUUAUGAGAACAAUAUAUUUGACUUCUUAGAGUAUGAAAUAAGAUAUGGUCAAGAUUUGAAGAAGAUUUUGUCAAAAUUUAUCUACACCAAAAUAUGAACAUAAUCAAUUUGAAGAAUUUAUACUUAGAGUUUUUAUGAUAACAAAAGUAUUUUAUGAUAACAAUAUAUUUGACUUCCAAGAGUAUGAAAGAAGAUAUAGCCCAGAUUUGAAGAAGACUUGAUCAAGAUUUAUCUAUAGCAAAAUAUUAACAGAAUCAAUUUGAAGAAUUUAAAAAAAAAUCUAAACAAAAUACGAACAAAAUCAAUUUGAAGAAUUUACAAUCUCAAUCGAAACAAAAUAGGUACACAAUGUAUCCGAAGAAUAUACUAAUGCAAUCUGAACAAAAUACAAUUGAGAAUUAAACAAGGACUAAAUUAAAGCCCAAGAGUAGUAGUCAAGGCUGGAGAAGAAAAUCAUCGAAAAACAUAAAAGAUAAGUCCUAGAUUUCGAAGAGAGAAACACUUGUUCGAACGAGAAAUACUCUCUAAGUGUUUUUUCUUAGAAUGUGAGUGUUAUUAUUAUUAUCAGCUUUGUUAGAAGCAAACACUUAAAGUUUCAAUAUUUUUAUCCAACCCUAUAGUGGCUUAGUUCAUUCUUCAAUCUGUAGUUGUCAGGUUGUCAGGAGAAUACUUGGCUUGUAGGGUCAAUGUCGUUAGCUCCUCAAAAGUUUGGGGUUCUCAGGCUGUUUGAAAAGACUGAAUUGGAGGGCCAGGUACUUUGUAAUUCAAGGUAAUUGAAUUAGUGGAUUAAAGCCUUCUGAAUGAGGGGACUGGAUCUAUCCAAGUUAGUGGUGAACCAGAAUAAAUUUAUUUGUCAAAUUAUUUAAGCUUUCAUUGUUUGCUACCUCUGAAUUUGAUUGCUUCUUCUCCAAGUAAGUCACCAAAAUCGAACUAGUUUAUUUAUUUAUUUAUAAAUUAUCAAAAAGUUAUCAACUUUAUCAAACACAAUUCAACCCCUCUUUCUAGUGUAUAUGAGAAUUAAUAAUCCAAUAUAAUAUCCAUAUCAUUUUGAUAGGGAUGGUUUAAUAGCCAAACCUUUUGGGAAUCACAACAUGUUGAGUCUUAUAGUGGUGAUCCUUUCGGUUGAGCUUUAAGGCAAUAUGCAAGUGAAAUAGCAAUGUCGAUUUACAAGGAAGGGGGUUUGAAUUGUAAAUAUAUAUUUUUAAAAAUUCAUGAAAUAAACUCAAGUUUUAACUCAAGAAUGAUAUUGGUUAAGAAAACAGAAAACGGAGAACGUUCUUGGUUUUUUUAUAAAACAGAAAACGUUCUUGGUUAGCUUACAAAACAGAAAAUCAGUUUGUGUUUUAUCUUAGUUAAUCAAUAAAGCUUAAUAAAUAAAGAGAUAAGAUAGAGAAUACCACACAAAGAUAUAUCCUGGUUCACCCAACUCGGGCUACGUCCAGUCCUCACACUGUGAGUUUUUCCACUAAGUGUUUAAAACAAAGAACCUUUUUGAUUUUACAGCAUCUAGUUCAGAUCAACCUUGAUCUGUUUCAAUCUCUAUUACUUUCCACCCAUAAUAUUAUUUAAUUUUUUUAGAGAGUAAAACUAGAAAGUAUUUGUCCUCUUUCACUAUGUUUAUGUACUCUAGUUCUUGAUUUCUAAGAAAUUGCUCAUGAUACGAAUUCUUGUGUGUAUCUCUAUUUGAAAUUCACGGGGAUAUGAAAUAAUUGAAAAAUUGCUCUCUCUUUCUUACUUAAGGGAAACUUGUUGAGAAAUUGAUAAUAUUAUUUAAUUUUUUUUUAGAGAAUAAAACUUGAAAAUUAUUGUUUGACAAAUUAGUUGGAGUUAACCAUCUAUUUGGCAUAAUAUCGCUUCACUCAACUUUAAGUAAUAAGUUUAUCAUUACUAAAUCUAUAAGACUUAUUUCCUUCGUUCGUGAUUGAAAUAUUAUAUGCAAUUGUUUAAAUGAUUCAUUGUGUCAUGUUAGUUUAUAAUGCUAAGCUAAUUGAUUUUUGACAUGUUGUGCUUAAACGAGUAAUGAAAUUUAGAAUAUAUGUUAAUUAAAUUUAGAAUUAAUUUUCUUUAUAUGAUGUUUUAAUCUUGUACAUGUUAAACUAAAUGAUUGACAUAGAUAUCAAAUAUUAUAUUUUUAUAUUUUUCUAAAAAUAAUAGUAUUUUAGUGUACACAUUUUAAAGUCUAGGAUUUUAGGCGAUUCUACGUGCAUAUAUGCAUUUGUAACUAAUUUGAUGCGCCUUGUAUGUUGACUAAUGUUAAGUGCGCACAUAAUUAUAUUUAAUUAUUUUUAAAUAUAUCUUAUUUUAAUUAAUUAUUUUAUAAAAAAUUAUCUUGAGACAGUAGUAAUAUUGAUAUUGACUUUCUUUAUUUUUAUGUGGUUGUUACGGUAUGAUGAUUUUAUACAUAUUAAUUUUGAUUUAGUAAUUAUUAUAAAUUAUUGAUGUUAUAUUUAUUUAUUUGAUCAUUUCGAUAUUCUAUAAAGAUGAUGUAUUUUAUGUGAUUACUUUGAAAAAUAUUAUAGUAAUAACUAUAGUUAUUAUUUUGAUCAUCACAGUUUUGAUUAAAAUUAUAUUUAUCUAUGUUAAGGAAAAAUAAUAUUAUGUUAAAAUGAGUGUUUUGGAGAAAACGUUUCUAGCGUAGAUAAAUAAAAUAAAUGAUUUAUUAAUGACUUUUAGAAAUACUAGAAAAUAAAUUUUGGACCAGAUAACUGUUUACACCCUUAUUUUCUACUUAUGCAUAUUAAUUUGUGCUAUUAUUGGUUGGACUUUUAUUUCCUACGGUUGCUGCGAAGGACAAUUCUACCCUGCACCCCCAUACCUAAACUUGCCACCCCUCAAGACAAAUGGAAAUACAAUUUUACCCUUUUAACCAUUUAUCAUAAGUUUCAAAAUUGAUAGUUUCGGAAGUUUCAAAUUUUGAAAUUUUCGAAUUUUAAAUUUUUUGAAAUAAGGAUUACGUUUCGAAAAUUUAGAAUGUUUCGUAAGUUUCCAAAUUUGGAAAAUUUCGAAAGUUUCCAAAUUUGGAAAAUUUCGAAAGUUUUGAAUUAUUUGAAAGUUUCAGAAAUUUUGGAAUUCUAUUUCGAAAGUUUCGAAUUGUUCAAAGUUUCGAAAAUUUUAGAAAUUGACAUGUUGAAACUUUCGAACAUUCUAGAAAGAGCGGUGAAAAAAUUAAAAAUUAAAAAUGUUGAAGGGCAAAAUUGUAUUUUUCACGUUGGUUGGGGGUGAGAGGUUUAGAUGUGGAGGUGCAGGGUAGAAUGCUCUGGUGCGAGUUGCUCAUUACACUCCUAUUUCUGUCUCAGACUUUACUAUCACGUGUUGGGUCUUACCGUUUUACUUUUUUUCCUAUACAUCUGCUAUUUGCAACCCCUCCUUCUGCGAUUAAAAGAAUAAAAAUUGAAAAUCAGAUUAAUGGCAACCAAAUUGCAGCAAACCUUUUUUCUCUCAAAUUCACUGCCAACAAUUCUUUGUCAUUUGAAUCGAUCUCAAUCACUGUUCCACACAAAAUCUGCCACCGAAUCUAUUUUUGGUUUCAAUUUUAUCGAUCAUGACUCAUUUUCAUUAGAACUUAUAACUUAAAAGAUAACAUUUUUGAAACUUUUAACUCAAUUUUAUCAAUCAUGGCUUCAAUUUAAUUUGCCACAUUAUACUUUUUUAAAGGAAUUUAUAAAAAAUUUACGUAAGUGGAUUAUAACUUAAAAGUUAAUUUAUUUAUAAUUUAUGGACAACUAAUUAAUUAUUUUUUAUCAACAAAUGUCAAGAUGAAAAUCCAUCUUGAAUCAUUAUUAAUAAUUUUAAUUGUUUACAAUAGUUUUUAUUAAAAAUAAUGCAAUUCAUGAUCAUCUUCUUUCAAUAAAUAUUAGAUUUACUAUACCCAUUAAAUAAACAACUUUUUAAAACUGAAUCUAAGAAAUGAGAAUUCAAAUUUAUGAUCAUAAAUGAACAAAGAGUAGAAAUAUGUCAAAACAAAUAUCUCAUCGCACGAAAUAAAAUUAUUCUCUCAAGAACUAAACCAUUUAAAUUUAUGAAGGUCAAAGAUUAAACCAUUUAAAUUUGUCCAAAAAAAAAAUUUGAAUUUGCAAAAAAAAUAACGUUAUUCAACCAAAUAAACGAAACAAAGGAUUCAAGGACCGAAGGGUCCCCUAAACUUUUAUAAAAUAUUUCGAUAUUAGUACGUUAUUAUAAUUUUUUAUUUCUGUACUAAAUCUCAAUGUUAGUAUGUUAUUAUGUGGAAUGUGUUCAAUUUAAGAUUCUUGGUGCUAUGGGAGCAUUAGACGUUGAUUGUCAAGGUUAAAUUGUGGGUCAAUGUGAGGGAAAUAAAGGAUAGUCUUAUGAACUUUGAAGGUUAAUUUUUAAAAGCGUCUUCUUUUGGGGAUCAAUGUGAAUAAUUCUCGGUUGAAGAGACGAUACAAGUAUUUUAACACUCUAAAUUUUAUAAUAAAUUAUUUUAUUGAUGAAAUAUAAUUUCAAAUAUUUAAACUGAUGUUAAAAUUAUUUUAUAAUAUAUGUUAAUUAAAUUUAGGAUGUUUUAAUCUUGUACAUGUUAGACUAAAUGAGUGAUAUAAAUAUCAAAUAUUAUAUUUUAUAUAUUUUUCUAAAAAUAAUAGUAUUUUAGUGUACACAUUUUAAAGUAUAAGAUUUUAGACGAUUUUACGUGCUUAUGUGUGUUUGUAGUUAAUUUGAUACUUUCUUGUAUGCUGACUAAUGUUAAGUGUGCACACAAUUAUAUUUAAUUAUUUUUAAAUUUAUCUUAUUUUAUUUAAUUUAAUUAUUUUAUAAAUAAUUAUCUUGAGAUAUUAGUAAUAUUGAUAUUGAUUUUCUUUAUUUCUAUAUAGUUGUUACGGUAUGAUGAUUUUUUACAUAUUCAUUUUGAUUUAGUAAUUAAUAUAAAUCACUGAUGUUAUAUUUAUUUAUUUUAUCAUUUCGACUAAUCUAUAAAGAUGUUGUAUUUUUAUAUUAUUAUUUUGAAAAACAUAUUAUAGUAAUAAUUAUAGUUACUAUUUUGAGUAUAAGAGUUUUGACUAAAAUUAGAUUUAUCUAUAUUAAGGAAAAAUAAUAUUAUGUUAGAAUGAGUGUUUUGGAGAAAACGUUUAUAGCGUGGAUAAGUAAAAUAAAUUUUUUAUUAAAGAUUUUUAGAAAUACUAGAAAAUGAAUUUUAGACCAGACGACUGUUUACACCCUUAUUUUUUUUACUUCUGCAUAUUAAUUUGAGCUAUUAUUGGUUGGUUUUUUAUUUCCUACACCUGCUGCCUCAGACUUUACUAUCAUGUGUUGGGACUUACAGUUUUAUUCUUAUAUCUCUACGUUUUCUCUCUACACCACUCAUAUUGCAAUUAAAAAAAUAUAAAUUGAAAGUCAGACUAAAGGCCGCGAAACAAUUUUUCUCUCAAUUUCGUUUCCACCAAUUCUUUGUUGCUUGAAUCGAUCACAAUCUCUGUCCACACAAAAUUGGCCACUAAAUCCAUUUUUGGUGCCAAUUUUAUCAAUCGUGGCUCCGUUUCAUAAAAACAAAUGCGUUUCUUUCGUUGGGCGAGAUAUUUUUGGCCAAAUCUGAUCACUACGUUUGUCGUCUCAAAAAAAUAGUAUUAUUUUUGGAUUUCUCUUGUCGAAACUUACAAGAAGAACUACUCAUUUACAUUUUUCAUUGAAGUUGAAGUCGGACACUUAUGGCACUCGGAUGUGGAGAUUAUUUUAUCAUAAUAUAAGUAGGGUCUAACAAGCCUAGUGAUUUCGAGGAAGUACAACUGAAUGCGCCUGAUCAUGGAAGUCUGCUGUUGAGCCUUAAGGCAAAAUUGUUAGACAUUGGAGAUAUUCGGAUGGAGAAUUCCUAGGUGACUAGGAGGUAGCACUCCAAAUGUCGACAACUACCAUGCAACACACAUUUACCUCUACUUUUGCAUAUAUGUGACUCAGAUGGAGUUGAGGGUGAAGUAGUAAUAUCGAUUUACAAGGAAUGGGGUUUAAAUUGUAAAUGUUUCUAUUUAAAAAUUCCUGAAAAACUUAAGGAUUUUACUUAGGAAUGAUCUUGGUUAAGAAAACAAAAAACGGAGAAUGUUAUUGGUUAGCUUGAAAACAAAAAUUCAGUUUAUGUUUUAAUUCAAGUAAUCAAUCAGACUUAAUAACUAAGGAGAUAAGAGAACUAAUAUAUGUGAAUAAAAAUAUGUGAAUAAAAAUAUUCAGCUUUUGAAUACUUUUUAAAAUCUAUUUGACUGGGAUGGUUUAUUCGUUCAUGAUCAGUUUUAUCUUGUGUUUAAUGAUCCUUUAUGCUUCACAUAAAUUUGUUGAUGUUAAAUCUUUGAUCUGGAAACUCGACUCUGUUCAAAUCAAUUUGGAGAAUGAUGAUGAACUUCUACAGAUAUAAGGAGAUUGAUACCGAGCUUCUGCAGAAUUAUGGAGAUUGAUAAUUGAUCUAGAUUGUCAGUCUUGUACUUUCAGGAGAUUGAUGAUCAAUCUUGAGGUUCAUUGUUUGAUCAUUCUGGACGACUUCUCGAUCAAUCUGGAUGACUUUGUACAUACCAAAAUUGAUUAACUUUCUUGACAAUUAAGUUGGAGAAGUUUCAUACUUGUUUUAUCUUUUUUGAUUCAUGAGUUUUUAUCUUAGUGAUUCGAAUGCCUUCUUUGACUAGAAUGAAUCAUACUUGUUCCUUGCCAAGUACUGAUAACAUUAGCAUGAAAUUCAGAGGCAGAAUCUUUUAUGAACUAAUGCAGAUUGAUUAAUCUUGAGGCUGUGAUGAUCAGUCUUGAUCUUGGAGAACAUUCUCCGUUUUAUCUAGAAUGUUCUUGUUUCUUUAUCUGUUCAGUUUUUAUCUGAUUUCUUUGCUUUGCUUGAUUCCUAUCUUUGAAUUAAUUAACUCAAAAGCACAAGUUAAAUUAACAUAAUAUUUUAAAAUCAUAAUUAACAUUCUUAAUUAACCUUUAUUUAUUUUCAUCAAAACUUUAAUUUGAGAGUUUGUCUUAACAGAUGGGAUCUACGAGGAUAUGACCAAUUUGAAUUGUCCGUCCACCGGGAUAGUGUCAUGGUAUCAAGCCUCCUAACCAAGUACUUCAGAGUUAAAAUGGUACCACUUUGUGAAGUAGAGUCUAAGCUCAUGCAUAACAUUGCAUUUUCUUGUGAUUGUUUUUGUGUGAUUAAUGGGUAUCAUGUGCAAUAAUAAUUUCUCUUAGAAGAUUUGAUGUUAUAGUGAAAUGUAUUAAUUUUUUUUGGAGAGGUUUUAGAUUUAUAAUGUGAGUUAUUUCCUUGAAGAAUGUUUGUGUAACGAUACAGUUUGUUUAUGAUUAAUUGUGUGUUCUUCUUGCGUACUUAUAUUAUACUAUUAACAUGAUUUCAAAACUCAUCUCCUUCGUUGUUUAUGUUUGACUGACUCGACCUUGCGUUGAAGUUCAAGUUGGGAGAAACCCCACUCUGAUAGGUGAUAAUAGGAAUAAGAGUUUUGAAUUGUAUUUUACUUUUACUUUUUAUUAGAAAUGACUUUUUGUAUGAAAAUCUUAUAAGCACUAGUAAGUUUUUGGAAUUAAAUUAAGAAAUUUUAGUUAAAUCAAAUAUAUGGAGAUUGCAUCAUUUUAUAAGAGGUAACAGUUUAAAGUGUUGUUUUUUGAAUUUUGAGAAACUUGAUAACCUAAAUUAAUUAAAAAAAGUUUUUUAUUUACUUGAAAAUAUAUCUUCUUUAUCAGUUGCUAAUGUAUCAAAAACAAAAAAAAAAAUCUACUAAAAAUUAUUAUAUAUUAUUUUGGGGUUUAGGGUGUCACAUUAGUGGUAUCAGAGCAUGUAUGUCCAAUGAGAACGAGUGAGUCGAGUGUUGAUUCAUUAAUCGAAUGUUAGUCGUGUCGGUUGUGUUUUGUUAUGUAUUAAUAAUUUUCAAUAUCAUAAUUUUUUUUCCCGUUAUAUUAUUGUAUUAUGCACAAUAUACUUUUGUAUGCUUUUAAUAUUUUUGAAGUUACUAAUUAACAAUUUAUUUCUUGUUUAUUUUGAUUGUAAUGCACAUUCUUAAUUUCUAUCUAAAUGUCUAAAUAUAACAUGAAUUGUUGACAAUACAAACCUUUUGAUUGGACUUGUGGUUUGAGUUUCGAACUUCGAUUAUUUGUUUUUGUUAGAGUGGUAAUUAGAAAUAAUUUUUUUUAUUGACUAGCUAUAUCAUUGAAAUUAUUAAUUUAAUUGGGGUAAUAUUAAUUAUCGAUUAUAGAUCUUGCCUUUUGGGAUCAUAGCAUGAUUAUAAAAAUUUUGGUAAAUUAAUUUAGAACGUUGUUGUGAGUUUUUAGAAUUUAAAAAAAAAAUUCGAUGAGGGAGUUAAAAUUGGCUUAUUUUGUAGAAUGAAAAUAACUUUUAUUUGAAUUACUUUUGAUUAUUUUAAAGAAAUUACAUUGAGUUGGAUUUUUGAUGAUUUAUAAAAUAAUAAUAAUUCUAUAUUCUUGAUUUUAUUUAACGUUUAAAAUAGCUAAAAAUUUACACCAUAUUUUAUUACAUGUUAUUUUUAAGAAGAAAAAAAAAAGAUUUGUUGUUUAUAUGGUUUAGAGGGCCUCAUGUAAAUAUUGGAUCUUGAGAGUGUCGAAAUAUUUAUUUGAAAUAAUUGAUUUUUUAAUUAUGAUUUUGUGAACUCAUUAGAGUUUAACUUGAUGUUUAGGCUUGAAGAAUUCAUUAGAGAUUUAUAAUUGUGUUAAUAAAAAAAGUAAAAUGAUAAAAUGUCUAUUAAUUGAAAAAGAAAAGAAAAAUAAAAACAAUGAUUUUAAAACAAUUAUCUCAAUAGUUAAACUCCUUUUGAAAAAUUAUCUAAAUUUUAGAUAAUCGAUUUAUUUUAUGAGUAGAAUGUUUUUUUUUUUUGAGUAGAAAUGUAGUUUUUGUGUUAUCAUUGUCAAAAUGUAUAUUUGAGUUUAAUAUGAGAAGAUGAUAUGUUGUUUAUAUAUUUUUUCUUGUUACAUGAAUUAACCUAACAAAAUGAUAUGCAUCAUGUAGAUUGGUAUGUGUAAAGUGUAUCAUGUAGAUUGAUAUGUGUAUAGAGAUUAAAAUUUAUUUUAUCCAUUUUAUUAAUUAUAAAAUUGCAUUUUUUUUUAUUAGGGAUCUAAUUUUUAAGAUUAAAAUAGACCUCUAAAAUCUUUAAAAUUUAUGGUGUGUUUUGUUUUAGAUCAAUUUUAUGGCUUGAUAGAAACUCGAGAUGUAUCUAUACGCCUAUUGAGUACUUGAUGUGAGAGGAAGUUGUUAUUUUGUAGAUUUGUCAAUUAGUGUUAUCAUAACCAAAUAUGUCUUAUGAUUUGUGUCAUGUGCACAACUACUUUAAUGUAGAAAAGUAUAUGAUUUUUUUUUGUAAGUAUUGAGAAAAGAAAUUGGAACUAUUUCAGAUGUGUUAAUUAAUUGAAAAAUUUCCUAUCUAUCUAUAUAUAUAAUUGAAAUUUUCUUUCAAAAGAUAAGUUGAAAAUAAUUAUUUUAUAGUGAUUAUUUAUAUAAAAAUGUGUUUUCGAUGAUUAAAGUACAAGUGAAAUUUUAGAAAUCUUAUAGAUUUUUAAAAUACAUGUAAUUUAUUAUUUUUGUUUUAUUUUUUAUUUAGACGUGAUUUAUUGAAAAAUAGUUUAAGGAAAAAAACUUUGAAUUCUCAAUGAAUUUUUGUUGUGCUAAAUGAUUAGUGAUACAUUUUAUAAUAAUUUAAGUGUAGAAAUCAAUUUUUAAAAUUACGUGUAACCUUUAAAGUGGUUUAUGUACUACCUAAUUCAAUUUGGUUUGAUAGCGUGUUGAAUCUUUUCGUAAAUAAAUAUUUCGCUAUAUGGAAAAUAUUUCCUUUAGUUUGUUGUAACUUUUAAAUGAUGAAGAUUAACUCAAAAGAAAAUUUAGUCGUGGUCAAUUUGGAACAUGUGUGAAGAAUCAUCGUUUGAGUUAUGAGAUGAACAAAUCUUGAUGCUAAUUUUUGGAUUAGUUAUGUGAUGGUGUAUACGAUUAUCUAAAUAUCAAAUUGUUUGUGUUUCAAGUGUUCUAUUUAUUGGGAAUUAGUAUAUAGAGUAAGAGUAUUCGAGAGUAUUUAAAAGUGAAAUAAUUUUAUAUUUUUUUAUCCAAUUAUUGAUUAUAUAUUGAUGCAAUUGUCUUUGUUACUACUCGUUGUGACACCGUAAACUCAAAAAUAUUAUGUUCAUUAAAAAAAUGAGCAUGUCAUUGCAUUGCAUAAUAUUCUUAAAAUAUUAUGUUAUUGAUGUAUGUGAAUUGUCUCAUAGUGUGUAUAAUUAAAUAUUUACUGUGUUAUAUGUUAUGAAGAUUUCAUAUGAUUUCAAUGUUCAUCUCUCAUGCUCUAUGUUUGGCGCUGCUAAACACAUAAACUUUUAACAUGCUUCAAGUGACACUUAGAGUCAAAGCAGAAGACAUGCUUUAUUGAAGUUUUACUAUUAUUUAUAUAUGUAUCGAACAUUUUAACUUUGGAAAUCAUACUAUGAUGGGUGACAUUUGGUUUUGGUAAAUAAUUAUUUUGUCAAAUUUGGUUAUAUUCUAUCGUUUACGAAUUCUCAUGUUCCACGAAUUUAAUUUGAUAUAAUUCUAAUAUUAUGAUUUUAUUGAGACUAUUUAGGUGAGUGUUUAUGACAUGUAUGUGGUAUUCUAUGCCUCUACAUAAUAUUUUGAAAACUCAUAUUUAUAUUUAUCGUAAACUAAACUAUACUGCAUAUAAAAAAAAUAAAGUUAUGUAAUUCUUGAGCAUUUGUUAUGCUCAUUCAAUAAUCCUUAUAUAUUUGAAUUAUAAUUUUCAUCAUACAACUCGCAUUUUAGGUGCUACCAGCAAAACGAGUUCCGCAAAAAUUCUCAAAAUAACAAAUAUAAAGUUUAUGAUUCAGAGAUAUUUAUAUUCUAGUUAUAUUAGGCCGUUACCAAGUGACAUGGAGUUUUAGAGUGUUUUUGAAAUUAGACAUUUGUAAAUGUUUAAGUUGAUACUCUUUUCAAAUAAAAUGUUUUGUAUAAUAUUUAUUAAAUAAAUAGUUUUUAUUUUUUAACAAAUUUUCUAUUAUAUAUAUUUUAACGUUAUUUCCGCAAAUAUAGGCAGAGGGUGUCACAACUAGCCUCUAGUGGAAAACAUAAGAGCAUGAACUCAACAUAACUUAAUUAAAUAGAAUAUGUGUCACGUCAUCUUAAAUCAUUCAUUUUUUACUCUAAAUGUUUAACUCUUAAAAAUCAUAUAGGUCCCACAACUUUAAUUCAUACAUUAAUAUAUCAUUUUUAUUUCAUUUCAUUACAACUUUAAAUAUCAAUUUUCAUAUUUUAAUUAAUAUUAUACAUUAAUUUAAAUUUAAAAUAAAAAUAAUAACGGUCAUAAAUUAAAAAAUAUAAUAUUUAUAAAUUUAUUAUUAUUAAAUUGUGAGAGUACCAUUAUCUGUUAUAGCACCAAAAACUAAAUUUUACAUAUUUUUUUGUCGUGAACAAAGAUAGUUGUCAAUCCUUAGAUAUACUCUAAGGAUGUUUCUAGUGGAAACAUAGAAGUGUAUCUAGGAUUUGCCAACUAAAAUGAUUGUCAUCCUAGUUAGAAGAAAAUCAAUUUCGAAGAAGUAAACACAAAAUGUUUUGUGAUGUUUCAAAGAAGCAUCUUUUGCAUGUGCAAUUUAUGCAUGAUUUGCCCAAUUAACUACUCUCCUUAUGCUUGAAACGAACAAAACAUUAUUUGAUCCUACAAGCAAUCAACUUUUGGAUAAAUAAUAUAAAGUAAAAGAGGAAAUAUUCAAAUCCCAAAAAGGAUAAUGCCUUAAAUAGUACAAUCAUACUUUACAAAUCAAUAUAAAAUAUAACUUCACUAUUUGAAUGAAGAAGAAAACAAAGAUAAAGAAGAAACACUGAGUCUUACAUUAUUAUGCCUCGUAUAUUUCUAAAGUAUUUUCGAAACAGCUCAUGUUGAGUGUUUUUUACUUAAUUUUAAAAGAAUUUUUUAUUUAUUUAUAAUUAAUGAAUACAUAAAUACCAAGCGCAAUCAUUUUUACACUCUUUUGAGCAUUUACUCAACUAUUGGUCCACGUUAUUAUUAUUGAAUUUUUUUCACAAGCAACCCGUCCAUUUGAUCAAAUUUGGUUUCAUACAUUUUAAAAUUAAAAGUCUUUUUUUAAAUCGAUGUCUAUAGACUUAACUAUAGACGAAACUUUAUUCUUGUCUAUAAAUAAUUGUAAAAAACGGACUAUGACAAUUAAACUCUAAAUAAUGUUAUAGUAAAAUAUGAUAUAUAAUAAAACACAAUAGAAUUAACAUAAAUAAGUUUUCAUUUUUUUUUUGUCUAUAGUUAAAUGAUAAAAAAUUUGCACUCAAUAUAUUCAAAACAUGAAAUUCGAUAUAUAACAUUUUUCAGUUGAACUAAAUUUUCUAGAUGAUCGUCUAUUUUUAUGCUACUUGAUAUAAUUUUAUUUGAUCUACCAUAAAAAAAAAAAAAAUUAUCUUAUAAAAUAUAUUCUUUGAAAGUAAAAUUUGUCCAAUAUAUUUCGUACCUUACGGUGAAGCUUCCUCCUCUCAUCUUAAACUUUUUACGUAAAAAUUAUAUUUAAUAUAAGAUCUCACAAUUUUUUAAUUUAUUAGAGUCAAACAAAUACUCUGUAUAAGAAUUACAAAAAUCAUUGCAGCAGCCAUAUCAGACACGACAUAAGAUAACAUGUAAAGUUUUUCAAAGUUUGUUACGGACAAAGGACAAGAAACUUGAGUCAUUUUGUAAAUUAUAAUGAUAAGAGUAACAUUAGUGUAUUAUAUGCUUUUUGAAGAGUAUCAAUAAUUAUCAUUAAUAUUUUGGAUCAUUGAUGAUACAUUAUAUAUUAAAAUAGUGUAAAUAAUUUUAGAUGAUUUAUGAUAUAUUAUCAUAGAAUUUUGAAGAGUGUAAAUAAUUAUCGUUAAUAUUUUAGAUAAUUUAUGAUAUAUUAUUUAUUAAAUUGGUUCAUUGUACAAUUUACUAUAUUUCAUAUUAUAAAAUAAUAAAAAUGGAGAUCAAUAAAUAUUAACUUCUCUAAAACAAAAUACAAGCAAAAAGAUGUAUUAUAUUAAAUUUUUUUAAAGAAAAUUUAAAGUGAGGAAAAUAUAUCUUAAUUUAUUAAAUACUUACAAAAAAAAAUUUACUUUAACCAUUUUAAUCACAUUAUCAUAUAUCAAAUUCACAUUCUACGAGUCAACUAUCUAUCUCUUUAUCAUUAAACCAAAAAAUUAAAAUCAAUAUUAAUUUUAAAUUAAAUACAUUAAUUUUUUGAUAGUAGAAAAUAUUAAAUAUAUUAAGUAAAAGAUGAAGGUAGUGUCCAGCUAAUAAGCUACUUAGUUUAUUGGAUAUUGUUAAAAUUUCAUGCAUAGGUUGCUGUCUCUAUCAAAUCCAAAUCCACGUUUCAUAACCAACUUGGGUCGCAUUGGUCCAAAGAAUCUUACUUAUAUUCAAAAAAGCAGGCCAUUAUUUUUCAAUAAUAGUGUGUGUAUUUUUUAUGAUCGGUGAAUAUACUAGUAUUUUUAGUUUGUUAGAUGUUGAAAACUAUGUGAAUUGUAAUAUGUAUAAAAAUCAAAGUACACCAACCAAGACAAAUAUUGAGGUUAAAAGGGUAGAGAAAAAAACUAUAUAAAGGGUGAUGCUAUCUUCCAUAAUUGCAAUACCAAAACCCACUUUGGGAAAACAUGGGGUCACUAAUGGCCUCUACUAAUCUUAUUAUUGCAUUCACAAUAAUGUCUCUUGCUUUUGCUUCUCAAAUUUCAGCAAAUAAUUAUAUCUAUUCAUCUCCACCACCACCGUCACCAAAGCCUUACUACUACCACUCACCGCCACCACCAGUGCACUCUCCUCCACCUCCUUACCAUUACAUUUCACCACCGCCGCCACCAAAGAAGCCGUACAAAUACCAUUCUCCUCCUCCACCAGUUUACAAGUACAAGUCUCCACCACCACCCUAUAAAUACCCUUCUCCACCACCACCACCAAAAAAACCUUACAAAUAUCUCUCUCCUCCACCACCAGUUUACAAAUCUCCUCCUCCUCCUUAUAAGUACCCUUCUCCUCCACCUCCACCGUAUAAAUAUCCAUCUCCACCACCACCAGUUUAUAAGUACAAAUCACCUCCUCCACCAGUGUAUAAAUACAAAUCUCCUCCACCUCCACCUAAAAAGCCAUAUAAGUAUCCAUCUCCACCUCCCCCUGUUUAUAAAUACAAAUCUCCACCACCACCAGUUUACAAGUACAAAUCACCUCCUCCACCAGUGUAUAAGUACAAAUCUCCUCCACCUCCACCUAAAAAGCCAUAUAAGUAUCCAUCUCCACCUCCCCCCGUUUACAAAUACAAAUCUCCACCACCACCGGUGUACAAAUCUCCACCUCCUCCCGUUUACAAAUACAAGUCACCACCACCCCCAGUGUACAAAUACAAAUCUCCACCUCCCCCCGUUUACAAAUACAAGUCACCACCACCCCCAGUGUACAAGUACAAAUCUCCACCACCACCAGUGUAUAAAUCUCCACCACCACCCUACAAGCAUAUAUCUCCACCACCAACGCCCAAGAAACCAUACAAGUACCCAUCACCACCACCACCAGUUUAUAAAUACAAAUCUCCACCACCACCAUACAAGUACCCAUCCCCACCACCACCUCCGUACAAAUAUCCAUCACCACCACCACCAGUCUACAAAUAUAAGUCUCCCCCACCACCGUACAAGUACCCAUCACCUCCACCGCCACCAUACAAAUAUCCAUCACCACCACCUCCAGUUUACAAGUAUAAGUCCCCUCCUCCACCUGUUUAUUCACCAC